rnacentral:lncRNA from 1 species
CCUUUUGAGCUUUGUACUAGGUGAUUUCUAUUCCAGAUGAUGAUGUGCUCUUAGUUUGUAAUAGGUGAACUUUUGUUGUUGUUUUUUCUAAUUGAAAGACAGUACAACUGUCAGACCCGUCAAAAAAGAACUCGAACCGCCGCCUCGGCCCUCGCAUUGCUACAACGCAAGGAGGAAUCCCUGCGAGAAGUACAAGAGAAACUUGGGCUUGGCCUUGCAUGCUGGGCUUUUAGUUCAAUCUAAUUGAUUCCCCGUACUGGGCUUUUAUCGAGUAGAGAACUGAUAUUUCAGACACAAGAGGCCCAUGCAUAGUAACUGGCCUGUUGGCCUGUUGGUAUUGCUCGAGGCCAUGCUGUGCCCUAAAAAAAAACUCAAUUAUGCCCUCACUUCGACAAAAAGAAAAGAGAAAACUUGAUUCUGCCCCUUCAAGAAAAGAAGAAGUGAAUUGUAAAGCUAGAGCCAACAAAAAAGAAAAUUCAAUGACUGAAAGGGCAAUGAAGCAGAAGAAGAAGAGAAGAGACAGCAGCUGCACUGGCGCGAAACAGGACGAGAGACAGUGAUUUAUGAACAAGUAUACAAUCAUGCAUAUGUACGCGCACACUAUUUUCGCAGGCAAAUUAAUCAAUGGCCCUAGCUUGGAUCAUGGGCUCACGUCGAAUAUAUUGGAUUCAGAAACCCAUGCAAAAUGCAAAAUGACGGACCACCGGAUAUAUAAUUUCCCGAUUGCUUUAAAUCGUGUAAUCUCUCCGUACCGAAUUAACUGACGUGAAGAUAGAUUCUUAUACAAAUUCAAGUCAUUUAAUUCGAACAGAGGGUGAUGUGAUAUAUUUCCAACAGCAUUAUACUGUGGUAAGCAAUCAUUAAGCUAGUCAGCCUAAUCAUACUGUUUCGGCAUUUCACUGUUCCUUAGGGUUUCUUUCUUGAAUGUCGGCCAAACAAUGCUGCCAAAUUAGCUAGGGCGGUUGUUGUGUUGGCCGGGUCAGUCCACUGGACCAUUUCACUUUGAACACGUAUAUAUAUAUUGCACACUUUCUUCCAAAAGCACGUCCAAAUCACCUUUUGAAAUUUUGCGUGCGUAUAUUUGCAAUCGAUCGAGAGUAGUGCAGCCGCCGCAAGGAGCACAUGCAUGCUGCAGCUAGCUAGCUGCAUGUGCAUGCGGGACAGGACGCUAGCUAGAUAGAUUCCCAUAAUCUUAACACUGAUGAUAGAUCAUUCUAACGUUCUCCUUGCUCUUGUACUUUUUUUUUGCGGGGAAAAGGAGCUUUAUUACACAAUGAUUCGUGUUGGUUUGCAAAUUUCAAAUAAUUGCGUUCUUAUCGUCCCAGUUCAGGUGUGCUUUUUCCCAACAUUGCAAAUUUCUAAUAAUUGCUCUUGUCCCGUGAAGAUAUACGUGCGUACAUUUAUAAUAAAAUAUUAAUUCAGCCCAGCUAUUAUAUUAUGAAAAUGAAAUCAAUCCUGCUCACGUGGGAGUUAAUUUCGAUGACAAAAUGGAUUUUUAUUUGAUCUGAACCAGGUGCAGAUUAAUUAAGCCUGCAUGUAGUGGUCAACACGGGCGCUACAUCAUCAACUGCAUUCAAGCUAGCUAGCUAGAUAGUAGUCUGAUUCUAAAUUCUUGACUUAAAUUUGUCUAAAUAUGGAUCUAUCUAUUUUUAAAAGUGUUUAGAUACAUGUAAUAUUUCGACAACAAUUUAGGUCGGAGGGAGUAGCAAAUUAAGCAAGCACAUACAUAAAUAUAUGCUAUGCAUGUGCAAAGGUCGACGCACUGCUUUGAACAUGCUGCAUUAUACUCUCUCCGUCUCAUCUUAACUGACUCAAAUUUGCCCAAAUGUAGAUGUAUCUACUAUGCUUAAAAAAACGUCUAGAUACAUGUAAUAAAAAGUCACACAAUAUGAGACUGAGAAAAUAUAUGCUAAAGUAUAUAUAUACUUAUCCGCAUACAAAUAUUAUUUAGGAGGGAGGUCUGGGACUUUGUUUAGGAGGGAAGUCUCAUCCCAGGUAUCAGUGAAUAUAAAGGAGCUAGGGGCGCCGUACGCACGUGAAGGUGGUUACAUAUUAUUCGUAUUUGUCUAUAUAUAUCUCUCAAGUACAUACUCAGUCAAACUGCCUAAUUAUUCCAGUACCAAUAUCGAUCGGUCCGUGCAUAUAAAUCGUGCAUGGCCGGCUUACAUAUAAAUCGUCGGUGAUAUGUACUAUUGUAUGGUAGGCAGCUAGCUAGCUAGGGCACGUCUUAAAUCGUACUACAGUACAGUACUGGAUCUAUAUAUCUCACGAUCGAUAUAUAUGCAUGGUGCACCUCCCCUCUAAUUUCCAUGCUAGUUACGAUUUGCUGCAUGUGGCGGUGACGUCGACGUGCCAACCGCCUCUGUAAUUUUGACAUAUUAGCCGGUUCAUUUUGAUAAUUCGGUGUGUUCAUGAUCAAGUUAGGUACUUAGGUGUAGUACAAUGCGUACCAUGCACUAACCGAAUUAUAUGGCAGUUAGCCUGCAGGGACACAUGUGUUCCAAAUUUCCACAAGUCUCUCAGGCCGGUCAGCUAGGUAGCUAGCCAUAACCAGCAGACAAGUUAGGUUGCAACUUGCAAAAAAGUUUGCCCUCGAAGGAACAUUAUUGCAGGAAACUUGGGGGUUGGAAUUCUGUAAAUUUUUGCAUCAAAUUAAUUAAGGGAUCGUGUGUUUUCUGACUCUAACACGAUCGUUGCAUGUCAGAUCAUCAGUUACAUACUUGCACUGAUCUCUCUCACAGACCCAAACAUGCACCCACCCAGCUCCUUAAAAUUAAUGAGACGUGUGCUCAACGAAACAUAAGAAUUAUAUUAAUUUAAGCUAGGACAAUUUGCUGGUCGCCGCGCCAUUUUGUCUGGAACGUGUCAAAAAGGAAUUAAUGGAAUUGGACACAGCAAAAAUUGUCAAUGAGUAAUAAAUCAAAGCUCGUCAUCGAUCAGCCCCCAAUCAUGCUUCCAAGCACCUGUAUGUAACUGCCAACAACCGCUCGCUCCUGAGCUAGCUAGAACCCAUGCGGGACCCACAUCACCCGCUAGCUCCCGACAUGUGUAUAUAUAGAGGAGCCCCAAAGUAGAACUGCAAAACACAUGUACACACUUCUUGACACUGAUCAAUAUCUGAAGCUGCUCCAGGGUCGUCGAUCUCAGUAGCCGAUUAAGGGAGAUCGAUCGAAGAUCAAUGAUGAUGAUGCGAGUAAUUAGGCGUUGUUCUGAUAACGAGGAUGGAGGAGCAGCUUCAUCUGUUGUUGCCCUAGUACGAGCAGCAGCUCUACUGGUGGCGCUGAUGCAGCCAGCGGCAGCGCAGCAGGUGCCUUCUCCUGGGUACUACCCGAGCUCCACGGUGAGGUCCAUGGCUUUCUCCCAGGGCUACACCAACCUCUGGGGCCCGCAGCACCAGUCUCUCUCCCCUGACCAGUCCUCCCUCACUCUCUUCAUGGACCGCAGCUCAGGUUAGUAUUACACCAACUCGAUCACCACUUCAGUAAUCAACUAACCAAAAAUGAUAUCAUUGCAGCACCUGGUGGCCAUUAAUCAAUCAAGCUAAUUUUGAUUGUUGUUCUUGUUGUUGCUUAAUUUCAGGGAGCGGAUUCAAGUCGAAGAAGUCGUACCGGAGCGGCUACUUCGGCGUGUCCAUCAAGGUCCAGCCGGGCUACACCGCCGGCGUCAACACCGCCUUCUACGUACGUUAAUUAAGCCUUCUAUAAAUACAUCGAUCAUCCUCCCCAGCUCCGGCCGGCGGAUAUCGACUUAUAUAAUGUUAACAAAUAUAUUUUUUUCACAAAAAUAAAAAUAGUAUCGUUUUUUGUAUAGUUGUCGAACAGCGAGCUUUACCCGGGGCAGCACGACGAGAUAGACAUGGAGCUCCUGGGCACCAUCCCCGGCGAGCCCUACACGCUGCAGACCAACGUCUAUGUCCACGGCACCGGCGACUCGAACCCGAUAAUCGGCCGGGAGAUGCGGUUCCACCUCUGGUUCGACCCGACCGCCGACUUCCACCACUACGCCAUCCUCUGGGACCAGAACCAGGUCGUCUUCCUCGUCGACGACGUGCCCAUCCGCCGCUACCAGCGGAAGCCCGGCGCGGCGGCGUUGUUCCCGGGCCGGGAGAUGUGGGCCUACGGGUCCGUCUGGGACGCGUCUGACUGGGCCACGGAUGGCGGGAAGUAUAAGGCGGAUUAUAAGUAUGCCCCGUUUGUGGCCCGGUUCAGCGAGUUUAAGCUGGCUGGGUGUGAGGUUGGUGGGCCGGAUGGAUGUAGGCCCGUGGCGACUGGGCCUGGUGGUGGUGGGCUGAGUGGGAAGCAGGAGGAGACUAUGCGAUGGGCCCAGCAGAGGUCCAUGGUGUACUACUACUGCACGGAUCGCUCCAAGAAUCGCGCCAACUACCCAGAGUGCUAAUUAAGCUUGCUCAAGCUUAAUUAGUUUUGUUUACUAUACUAUAUGUGUGUGUACACAGUACAGUGCAGAAGCUGGAGCCAGCGGCGAUUGAUUAACGGAGGCUCCGCGCCGCCCAUCCCUUGUUUUAGUGGUUGAGGCGUACGUAUACACGUAUUUAUGAUAUUUAUACCACACGUGUAUUUAUAGUGUGAUGAUUAUGAAGUUGUGUAUCUUGUGAUAGCAGCAGGAGUGGUUCUGCUGCCAUUGUUAAUUAAGAUCUCAAGAUUAUUCACCAGAUAUGGAUAUGGAUUUAGAGAUCGAUCUUGUUGCUUGCUUACAACCAACUUUGUGUUUUGAUCCGUUCCUAGUACUCGGUAUGUACUGAUGAAGGUCGCUCCAACCAAGCUCCCAUGACCAAAAAGCACAUCACAACACAGCAAGGUCACAGUCUUCUCUGCUUCGACCUAAAAACUUAAAACUGUACACUACACAAGGAGCAAAAGGCUUGUUCCUAGGUAGUUUCCUCUUCUUCUUCUACAGGCAACCGACAACAGACAAGUUACACAACGCUUAAUUAGGAGAGCUGAUUACAGGCAAAAGCAAGCCGAGCUACUUGGAGUUCUGCACGACUCUGAAAACCUGCAACUUCUCGUUGCUUAGGCACCCCAGGUACCUCCCUCCGGCUGGACUUUCCACAAACCUUAGAUCAAGGAUCGGUUCGCGGUGGGGGCGAAGCUCAGUGUGCAUCCCGAACCAAGGUAGUUGCCAGGUCCUGACCCCGCGCAGCGACUCGUCUCCAUAGGCGAAAAGAUGCUGGUUGUUGUUCCCGUAAGGUAUGAUUGCAGACUUGCACAUGCGCACUUCGCUUACGCUGCCAUAGCACGUCCUGCCUUCGACGAAGGGUGUGACGCCCCACGGUGUCCUCGUGACCACGGUGUGCUGCCCCUGUUUUCCUGGACCUGACGCUGCCUGCGUUUGCGAUGGGUACACUUGAGAUGGAGCAGCGUCUCCUGAUGAAUCGGCCUUUGGCCGGAAGGAGGCCACUAUGGUAUCACUUGAUGGGGGGGCACACGCAAGAGAAAAACAGACACGUUGAUCAUCAGUCUGUAGUAGCAAAUAUGGCCUGAAAAGGACAACAACCAAAACAACAAAACAUGAGAGCCAGAACCAAACUAUAUAAUAAUAUUGAUUGUUUUCAACUAUCCCUUUUGUCUCAUACUUGCUUUGACUGCCAUCAGGAUCCCACAUGCAAGGUCCUAUAGCAGAGGCCGAAAGAACCUUUCUGGAACCAUUGUUGUCAGUGACACAGUGGAGCGUAUGAACCAGAUGAGUAGAUAGCCCAGCCAUGGAAUGCAAGGGUCUUGAAGUUUGACGAAUAUCAAAGACCAAAAUCCUGCCAUCCUGCAGUACACGACGAGGCUAAUUAAUCGUGUAAAUCUUGCAAGUGUAUCAACAAUCAAUGGGCUAAGAUCAGGGUAAACUGAACCUGCAAUCCAGCACAAACGUGAUGUGAACCCGAGUCAUCUGCUGAACAAGACCAGCCAGGAGCCUGAAAGGCAUUGUAAUAGAUAAUGAGGUUACAGCAGUAUUAUCUGAAAGUGAUUCACCUAAUAUGCUUAUUCAAAAUACAAAAUGUUCUCAUUGAAUUUCCAAUGCAGAAUAGAAAAGACUCUUCAGACGUGGACUUUUAGAGGUAUGAUGAGACUCCGCGUCCGGUUGGAUACAUAGCAUUAGCUGUAAGUGUUGUAGAUUGGCAAGGUUAGAUAAUUACCGGCAAAUCGCAUUGAAGAACAACACUCUCAGUCAUCAUGCUGGAUUCAAAUAUAAUGAGAAGUGCGGGAAAGAAAUAAUCAAAUAAUGAUAAACGGCAAUAAAACAGAAGGAACCACAAUUUUUCAUAAAUUCAAGACAAACCUAAAAAGUGAUAGCCUUCUGCCCAGUGAUGCAAAAAGAGCAGAGCCAUCAUGCAAGAUGCAUAUAUCCUUGACAACUUUAGUGCCAGGAGGAAGUUGUAUUUCACGUCCUUGGUGAGUGGAAAGCAUGUUAAUCUGUUGACAUUACAAAAAGGAAUAGUGAACAUUGCAAAAUUUAGUGGUCAUAUCCAUUCACUUACAAGGCACACAAUUAAACUUUAUACCUUAGUAAAAACAUGUUCCUGACCUAAACCAGGUGCCUUUCUAGAAGCAAGUAUUAUUUGGUUAGAUGCAUCUAUGCCCAUGACUCGAGCUCCAUCCAAAAGUAAUUCAUUCUGCACAAAAAAGUUAACAAAUUACAAGAAUGACACAAUUCAAUUUGGGGAAAGAACGGAAAUGUAUCCAUAAUCCAAUUGCAAAAUUGGUGGUGGUUUAUCAAACAAAUAGAUAAUCCAUGAGAAUGUGGAGUACAAUUUCUGAAAGUCUCUUGACUCUAGCUAAGCAUUCAAUACCAUUUUGCAUCGAGAUAUUUAAGUUAUUCUCAAAAAGCACAAAAACCAGAUCACUAACAUAUGGUACAUGAGCUGGGGCAAUAUUGGACUGUGUUGUCCAUUGGAGUGAAAAAUCCGAUGACCAGGCGGACAGGUGAAAUUCAUAUCUGCAGAACACAUGUUUUCAUGACCAAAUGUAGUGGUUCUAAGAUCCUAGCUAUGCUCACAAAAUUAAGAUAUGUAAUUCUGAUUAUGAGUUAUAAUAUUCUAUUCAGGUUUACUUGCAAUAGAAGCUGUGUCAGAAUCUGGUCCAAUUUCUACUUCAACAAUGCUAUAACUGAAAUGACCAAAUGUUUCAGGUCAGACGAGACACAAGACAGCAAUGAUGAUCAGUAAAACAUGCACUGUAUCGUGUAUACCAACAUUCACAACUGAAAAUAGCACAUCAUAAAAAUAUUGACCUGUAAGACAAGGCAGCAACAGUUGCUUGAGCCAAAACCUGCGUGCUCUGCUAUUUUCUACAAAAUGGAACAAGAAGAUUUGGCAUGUAUGUUUGUGUACCAUUAUUAAAUACUGAGAAUUUAAAUGGCACUACCUGUCUUUUUGAGACACCAUUGUCCACUGAUCUGUGCUCCUGCAAGGCACACAACAUAAGCAAAAUGUAUACAUAAAGUUCUCAUAAAAGUGACAACUGUUAUGUUAAUUUUCUGUUGCAGGAAGAGUCAAUGAACAAAGCAAGAUAAUAGAUCUAUCACUUAAAUACGAAGAACCUUUAAUAAUACCACCUUUGUAUGUUGCGGUACCGGAAUAGCUAGUGAAUACAUACUAUCAACUUAUGCAGUGACACCAUGCACUGACAAAAUUGCCAUCAUCGGGAGUUUGGACAAUGCAAUAAGCAGCUAAGAUGGCUACAGCAUACAGCACACCUUCUCAGCCUUUAUCUCCUCAAGCAUCUUCCCUUGUUUCCGGACCUUACAAGAAAAAGAAACACAAUGUUAGGGAGUUGCUGAUAUAAACUUACAGAGAGAAAAAUAAUUUCAAUUUUUACUCUAGUAACUGAUGAAAAGGAAUACAUGGUAACUUGUAAGAAACUAAAACAGCUUGGAGAUGACACAAAUAAAUUACUUACCACUUCCCCAAGAGAUUCAACCUUUUGCAUGCAAGAUACUACUUGCUGCACAAAUGCAACAAAGUUUAGUUCAUGGUCAAAAGAAAAUCCGGACAAAGUGAAGAAACCAACCUAACCUUUUCAAGGUCAUUAUUUGGAACCACAACCUGUGGUGCAUAGAGGUUGAUAAUGUCCUUACGCCUGAACCUUCGUGCGCAUUGAGGGCACUAAAACACACACAAGGAUGUCACCUUAACAACUGACUACUCACAACCUGUAAUUCAAAACUAACAUCCAUUUUGGCAUACAUACCGUCGUACUAGUAUUGCCGCGCUGCGUUAGCCAUCUCUCCAGGCAAGAUCUACCGUAGACAUGCCCACAGGGAAUACAACUACAAGAUAGGGUAUAUCACCUAGUUAGCCAUUUACACAUUAUAUAUGUAGACCAUUCAAAACAAAAUGUUGUCAAAUAUCUGCUGUUAAAAAAUUCUAGUCAGAUACCAUGUUCCCUCAAUAGCCAUUUACAAAUUAUAUGCAAAAAAGCAUUGAACAUAAAAACUAGGAUUACUCGAGGAACCAGCCAUGGACCAUCAGAAAUCAAGGCAGUCCCGACAAUAGCAUGCUGAUGUGCAAUUAUCUACUCUUGAGUCCUCACCAAGCAUUUAUAGUUCCAAUUCGUUGGCACCCAACACAACAACUAAUAUUAGUUCGAAUAAAAAUGCUUCCAAGCAUCUGUGUUCUCGUUAGUACCUCAGUCAAUGACAUAUACCAAACGCGAAUCAGAGUAGGGACAAACCGGGGCAUCACCUGAUGCGAUGCGGGCCUUCGGAGGUCCAGGCCUCCAUACACACGGGGCAAGUGGGCGUGUUGCCCCUCUCCGCCGCCGGUGCGCCGCCGGGAACCCUGCUGGCUUGCACGGACGACCCGCACACCUCCCCGACACUCUCCCGCACCUCCUCGUCCGCAUCAGAUCUCUCUUCAUCCUCUUCCUCUUCGUCUUCCUCCUCCUCUGAAUCUGAACCUGAACCUGGCUCUGAACCUGGUGCUCCCUCCUCCUCUGAACCUUCCUCCGAGUCGUCCCCUUCUUCCCCGUCCUCCUCGUCGCUGCUGUAGCUGACCUCGAAAUCUACGUCGUCGUCCUCCUGGGUCGGCGCCGGAGGAGAGGCGCGCCUGCCUCGCGAGCGCGACGGCAUGGCUUGGCUGGCGGCGGAGAAGAGGCGAAACCGCCGGGUGUUUCCUUUCCAAAUUGAACAGAAUUUUUCGUUUUCCUCUUCUCUUUUUUUUUCAAAGGAAAAAUAGAGGGGCUUACGACAUACCGACCCGAUGCUAAAUCGUAUUCGUCCGUAGUCGAUCGUGUGGUUCUGUUUUUUUUUCUCCCUUUCUUAAUUCCAGCACACACACGUUGCAAAAAAUACAGAACAAAUCGUCAAAACAAACGAAAAUACUACUGCUACACACAAAGCUGUCAAAAAAAAACUUUUUUUUUGCGGUAAAUCAAAAAAAAACUUGUGGUCAACAAAAAAGCUGUCAAAAAAAACUUGGUCAGAAAUGAAGCAAGAUUCAUUCCAUGAUAUAUACCAAUCAAACAACCCUAAGUUAUCAAAAGAUUUAUUCAAAAUUACAAACCCAAGUAUUCUCAUAACACAGCAUCAUAUCCUACGACGAUGAUCGGACAAACUCCAUGAAACAGUAUUUGCUACGAUUACACUCCCACCGGUCCAGAACACUACGAGGGCAAGUUAUCUUCCCCGCGGGAAGCACGUCGACGUAGCAUGGACGGUAAGUGAACACGCGUUCAAUGUCACACCCAUUGUCAGUGGGUUCGCCGAGUAGAUUGCGGCGCACGUAUUGCAUUCUCGAGGCGUCAAGGUGAUACGCAACUGCCGUGCUAGUGUGCCACUAAUGUCGAGGAGGAGCACGUCCUUGUACGGAUGUAAUCCGAUGAUACCACAAUAAUACGCAAGAGAUUGCCGAAACUUUGGGGUAAUUUUGGCACUAUUUUCAAAUUCGAUGAAGUUGCCCCCGUCCCAAUUCCACAAGUCCUCUUCUUCAGCACCACCACCAAUGUCUUGUUCUUCUACUUCUCCGUCGUUAAAAACAGCAUCAAUUGCGUCAUCCUGGCCAUCCUCCUUAUUGAUGUGACUUUGCUUGCUACGGCGUUGUGUGAAGAAGCCGAUGGGUCCUUUGCUGCUCGCGAACAUAUCCCAUUCUAAUCUUGGUUUCACGGUGCUUGCGUUCUUUACCAUCAUAUGAAUGUUGGGUCCAAAAUCGGCCUCAUGAACCAGCGUCCACCCUAAUUGGGCGUCACCUGAUUCGCUCGGAGCCGGACCUCGUCUAGUGCCGCGUAGCGAACACCUCUCUCGUAGCUCGCUAAGAGGGACCUCCGGCGCAGACCGUACGCGUUCCCGCCUGCGGUGUAGACUUCUCCUGGGAGUUGGACCAUAUCAUAAGUCCCCUCCAAACAGCCAAAGUAAAGACAUGCCGGUGCCGUCGCCGUUGUCAUUGGCGUCGUCCAUGAUCGAGUUAACUUCUUCGCCGCCGGCCGGCCGUAGGGUACUGGGUACGUGUAUAUGUAUUGGCUCCUGCUAGAAUAAGGAAUUAAUAAAACGCGGCGGCCACGGUUUGCAUCCGUAUUGCCAAAUCUCUGUUCGAUCGAUCUCAUCUCAUCCAUGGCGUACCGCGUACGUAUAGGUACCAGCUGCUCGAUCGGUCAACAAAAUAAUAAUACGUGCAUGUAAAAAAAAAGCAAAAUAUUCGGGAUGUACGUAUAAUUAGACUGUAAACGACGACGUAACUAAUUAACGGACCGACGUAUAUAUGCACUCAGUAAGUCAGUAGUCCAUUUUGCCGAAGUCUGGCUCGGGCGGCUUGGGCAGUAUGAUGAGGCUCUCGGCCUUGAGCGACCGCUGGCGCUGCACGCCGCGCAUGGCCUUCUUGGCGAACCUGGACACCAGGAACGUGGUCUUCAUCUGGCUGCUCGACGACGCCGCCACCUCCUCCGCCGCCAUGUACAUCUCGUCCUCCUCCCUCCGCCGCUGCUCCACCGCCCUCCUUUUCUGGAACCUCCGCCACGCCGCCUGGAUGAAGCAGGACGCCCAGGUGCGCCACUGCUGCGAGUAGAACCUGAAGGUCUGCUGCAGCUGCUUGCUGUGCAGCCGCCUGAACUGCCCGGCCACGAACUUGAGCUCGUCGGCGUGCAGCGCGAAGCCUUCCACCUCGGAUAUCGCCUUCACGGUGCGCGUCGACAGCGGCAGGUUCGCCGACGCCUUGGGGUCCAGCGCCCACGUCAGCAGCUCUUCCCCACAGAAGUCCCCUUCUUUCAACAAACCCCUGUUGAAGAACCCGGUCCGGCCGCCGUCGGUGGUCGAGCUCUCGAGCCGGCCACGGAUGAUGAACAACAUCUCGUCGACCGGGUCCCCUUCGCGCACCACGUAUGUCGCCUCCGUGCAUAGGCUGGGCUUGAGCCGCUCGCAGAUGGCGUCGAGGAGUCGCUCGUCCAUGUUCGCGAACAGCGGCACGCGGCGCACGAGGCGGAGGCAGAGGUGGCGCUUCACGUCUCUCCGGAUGUCCUUGGGCAGGCAGCUGACGAGCCCGUCCUCGUCGACGCCACGCGUCUCGAGCCACUUGUACUGGUUGUGGCGCCAGACCCUGUCGCGGAGGUCGUCGGGGAGCAGGCGGUGGUGCAUCCAUUGUUCCGAGUCGCGGCGCUUGAGCCGCAUCUCCUCCAUCCGCAGCGUCAUCGACUGGAGGUACGUCUGCAUGUUGCCGAUGAGCAGCGCCAUGAGGAUGAGCCCGAAGAGCGCCAGCAGGAUGGCAAACAACGCUUCCCCUUUGUAGUGCGUCGUCUGGUCAAGCCCCUGCCCAACGGUGCUGAGGUUCUGGAGCCCCCACCAGAGGCAGAAGAGGAUCCUGGCAAAGAGGUUAGGCGUGUACGUGACCCCAGAGGUGAUGGCAGUGGUGUACAACCCGUAGUUGAACCCGGUGCCGCCGCCGUCGAUCGGCGCGCAUUCCUGGGCCAGCACCUGCCGGAUCAUGGUCCUCCACUCGACGAACCCGGGCUGGCCCAGUAUCCCGCCACCACAGUACAUGUAAGUCUUGCACUGGUGGAACUUGAGCCCCGUGCACUUCUCCCUCCAGCAGUCGUCCAGCCGCUCGAUGGCCAGCAAGUACCAAAACGCGCCCACCAUGUGCGACGCCAGCAUGUACAGCAGCAGGUAGAACGCGGCGCCGGCGAAAGCCGUCUCGGCGAAGACCCCCGUGGUCCGCUUCAGCUCGGAGGUGAUCGGGUAGAUCCUGACGAGCCGCGGCACGUACUGGACGAGCACGAUGAAGAAGAGCGCCGUCUUGAUGGGCAGCAGGUCCUGCCCCUUGUGCCGCAGCAAGAACUUGAUGAUCUGGAGCUGCGGCAAGGGCAGCACGGAGAGGAGGUCGAAGACGAAGAAGCGGCGCACGUAGCGGCGCGCGAUGGCGGCGGAGUCGACGACGAGCUCGCCGCGGCCGAAGACGCGGGAGGAAGGGGCGAUGAAGGCGGUGCGGAACUGCAGCGCGAUCCGGGCCAGGUAGAAGGCGUCGACGGCGGUGCGGACGGCGGUGGCGAAGGUGGCCAGGGCGCGGUCGAAGCCGAUGCAGGUGUUGUUCUGGUUCUCGUUGACGACGGGGAGGUAGAAGAAGAGCGGGUCGACGGCGACGGAGACGAUGCAGGCGAAGAGGAACAGCCGGUUCAUCCGCAUCAGGAACGCGUCCUGCGGGUCGUAGAUCUUGAGGGAGAUGUUCUUGAGGUCUUCCUGGAAGACCCGGCCGAUGUUCUUGAGGCGUUCGGAGCGGUUGAUGACCCCGGCGGCCGCGAUGCGGAUGGAGCGGGACCGGAUCUUGGUCCGGCCUGAGAAGUAGCCGUCCAUCUGGUGCCCGCCGCCCGGGACGUCCAUGGCUGAUUGAUGAUGGUGAGCUUGUCUGCGAUUAAUCGAUUUGCACUGUCGAUCGCGGCAGCUAGAUGUGGGAGAUGGUCUUCUUCAAUUCGCCGGGAAAUGGAUGUGAGACGGCAUGUUGAUUUCGAUUCAGAAGCCCGAUCGGCGCGGAUGGAUCGAUCGUACUUUCUGAAGCAAUUAACCAACAGCAGUCGAUCGAUUUUUUUGGCAGGAAAAUACUGGAUGUGUCACCCUUGCGGAUCACCGAUUUGUCUCCCUUGCAAAUUGCUCUGCUCCCUUUCGUCGCUGGAGGAAGAAGCGGAAUAGCGCGCGCAAGGAAGGGACGCCGGACGGGAUGUGCGAGAGUGCCGGCCAAUCACUACUAGAAGGCUCUCUGUCUAUAUAUAGCUAGCUUGUUUGUGCUGCUUAAUUUGAUUCGUCUUGCAAGCAUGCACGUCCCAAGUCUUCCUCCCUUGCAAGUGCCAAUUGGUGGAUGAUCUUGACAUGUUUAGAAUCAGCAAGCUGCCUAAUAGUUUAGCCACGUACGAGUGAUCACAGCCUUUUACGUUCUUCUUAACAAAUGAUAGCAGCAUCGUGUCAUGCAGUGCGAUAUUUCCACAAGAUCGAACCAACAGUUUUCAAUAGCAGAUCCAGGCUCAUAUGAGCAGAACAGAAACAUAAACAGAAACAAAGUUCGUGCACAGAUGUAAUUCAGUAGAAACAGAGUAGUGCCGGCGUGACAAGAUAAUUCAGAGAUCGCUUAGCCCGUCUCUUCUCCCGUGUCGAUCCUCCGACACAAAUUACAUCCCCUCUCCUUCAUAUGCUUUACCAUGAGCUCAUAUGCACUCCACUUACAUCCUCACUCUGCAUUACAACAGUAAGAACCAUGUCAGACGUUUUGCCGUGGUGUUGCCGCAGCCAUGUUUCCAGGCAUGACCUGCCGUACGCCGGUAAGCGCCCGACAGUGAAUGCAGUUGUAUGUACAGUUGUCUAUACAGAGCAAAUUUCCAUACUACUAUUUAUAGCACAUAUAUUUGCAUGACUCCUAAUUUGGUUAGAUGUGAUAUACUCCUCGUAAUUACUGAUUCCAUUCAUCUUACCAUCUCCCAGAUGUCCAAUUCGAUGGCACGGCCAUCUUCAGCAGCAGCUUCCACGAAAUAAAAUAAAAUUGGAUGAGGCGAUGGGGUUUGCGCAUUUCAUCGAGCACAUCAUGCACAGUUGUAUAUGCAGAGCAAGUAGAUUGUUUGGGGCUGUUUACAAGCACAUGGCUAGAUGUGAUAUACUCCUAUUACUGAUCACAUUCAUCCUAGCCACUCCCAGAUGUCUAAUGCACAGACAUCUUGAGCGGCAGAUUAAGCAAAACAUCUGGACGAGGUGGUUGGGUUCGCGCAUUCCAUCGAGCACAUCACGUUCAUUGUCCAAAGGGACAGACAGUUCGGGAGCAACGGUAGCAAACUAGCAAUAUCAUUUGAGCGGCCGAGCGGCGAGCGUGCAUGCCAUUGAUCUCUAGACUGAUCUAGACGAAGAACAAAACACGAAACAAGUGAAUGAACCAGCUAGGAAUUUGGUCUCACCAGAUUUGACGCGCUGCGUCGGAUGUCAGCUGCUAGACGCCGCAAGCGGCCACCGUCGGCUGCUCCACCUCCAUCUCGUCCUCCUCCUCCUCGGAGUCAUCAUCAUCCUCAUCUUCUUCGUCGUCUUCAUCGUCGUCCUCGUCAUCUUCCUCAUCAGAGUCCUCGUCGUCUUCCUCGUCCGAGUCAUGGCCUUCGUCGUCCCCAGCUUCCUGCUCCCCCUCCGACCCCUCGUCUUCGUCUUCCUCAUCUGAGUCCUCGUCUCCGGAGCCGUUGCUGUCGUCAGAGUCAUCAUCUUCGUCGUCGUCGUCGUCGGCGCCGGCGUCCCCUUCCCCGUCCGCCCCCGGCGCGGUACGGCUCGGCUCGGCGGCGCGGGGGCGCGGUGCCUCUCCUUCCACCACCAUCUCGACGUCGGGGCCCUUCUCCUUGUCCUCAGUUCCCGGCGCCGGCGGCUGCGACGGCGGGGAGGACGACGACAUGGAGAGCGGAAGGAUGGGGAUUCCGAUUCAAAUUUCAGAGGAGAGGGAUCGCACUAGCUAGCUCACUCGCCAUUCCUGGUCAGAAACACGGAAUAUACAGAAAGGAAACUGGGGUGGGCCAGGGGUAUUGGUCGGUAGGCCCCCAAAGUGUUCCCAGGAGGCAGGACUUCGGCCCAACAACAACCCGGUUACCGCGCCAAUGCAAAAUCAAACGACGAGAAACUUGGCCCAUCUCCCAAAACAAAUACGACACAGUAAAACAUAAUCCUCGUCCGUUCAUAUUAAGUGACUUUUUAUUACACGUAUCUAGACGGUUUUUAAGUAUAGAUACAUCCAUAUUUAAUCAAAUUUGAGUCACUUAAUAUGAAACGGAGGGAGUAAUUCACUGAGUACUUAAUCAUAGAGUAGCAAAUUCAAACCAGCUACAGCAAAUGUCCACAUAAGAUCAUAUAUUAGGCACUAUAUAGCAGGGCCUGGAGUUCUUCACUUCUGCUGAAUUUCUUCUUCUCAUUUUUCAUCCCAUGCUUCGUCGACGCUUGUGAGAUGGGCGUGGUUGAGUAGUACCAUGCUGCCCACCAUCACCCAGCUGUUGACUAGCUUGCUGUCGUAGUGUUGAUGCUCUCUGGAACGCCAUAACUUCCUCUACAGUCUGCAAGAGCAGGUUGAACUUAUGCUCCAGCUUCUUCCAUGUGUCCUGAACUAUGAAGCUCAUUUCGGCAAGCGACUGCAUUAUGCAAAACCAGAAUCCAACAGAUAUGAUAACACUUCUUUUCAAGACAUGCAUGUAUAUAUACAUAGAGAUCGAUCACAGAGUAACUAAAUUAUGAAUUAACCAAAUUAAUUACCUUUUUAUGGCUGCAAUGGCUCCAGAGAUUGUUUGUGGUGGAGUAAAGAUUGAUGAUCUGAUCGUGCUCGAAGCUUUCCCUGCACUCCGGGCACUGCAUGCAAAUCGAUCCAGCCAGGAUACAUGCAUGGUAGCUUAUAGCUAUAUUAGUGUAUUACUCAAGGGAAACUAAGUUGGAAAAAUAUUCUUGCUAGCUGAUAAUAUUAUCUCAUGAACUAGACCAAGGGAAUCAAUUAUAACGAACCUCGGCUUCGUCGCCUCGGCGGUGGCGCAGCCACCUCUCCAGGCACGAUCUGCCGUACACGUGGCCACAGGGGACGCAGCUGCAUGAAUACGUGCAUGUAGUCAAUUGUGAUUUCGAUCCAUCAUCGAUCUCAUGGGCUCUCUCCAUUUUAAAUUAUGACAUGUUUUAGGUAUGUCGUUGUAAAUCAAUCUUUUCAAAAUUGUAACAAGAUAUAUUCGUCCAUUCUUAAAUGUAGGGCGCAUAAUUUUUUGUUGACUGUCAAACCAAGGUAGUAUGAAAAUAUGUUUCAGAAUGUAUCUAAUGAUACUCAUUUGGCACUGUAGAUGUUGAUUUUUUUAUAUAUAUGGUUGGUCAAAAUUUAAUUUUUUUUACAAUCAACCAAAGUUAUAUACGCCUUACAUUUGGAACAGAGAGAGUAAUAUCUAGAGUUAAUCCCACUUUUUACCCUUGUUUAGCAAUUUCUGACCGUGUUUACCUCAUUUUAGAAUCUCUGCCACAUUUUUACCCCUUAUUUGUACAUAUGUAACAGGUUUUACCCCAUUUAUGGUUCCGACAUGUUGGGCUCACUGUUCCGAGUGACAUAACAAGUCCAUGGUGGACGCGUAUUUUGCUAAGACAUUUUCUCCCUUAGCUAUUCCAGAUCCGACCCGCUUUCUCCCCUCACCUACUAUUCUUUUCGAUGGCGCGAUGUGAUUGUUGGGAAUAUGCCCUAGAGGCAAUCAUGUAUGAUGUAAUUCCCAAUGUAUUCAUAAAUAUUAUUAAGUUGUCCUUGUUUGAACAUCUGAUAUGUAUCAUUGAAUAUGUGAUUUGAUUGUGGAACUAUGUAUUCAUGUUGUUCAUACUAAAUUGUCCUUAGUCAUUGAGGUUGUGCUGGACACAUAACCUAGACUAAUGUGAAAGUUGGCUGAUGACUCGGUUCCACUUGUCAUGGGCAUGGUGAUGUCAUUCCAGCUUACACGGACUCGGCUAAAGAGUUUAGCGAGUCGGACUGACCCAUAUUGAGAUGCAACGAGUAGGUCGUCAUUUGCAUGUCUCAAUCAAUGUAAUCCUUAGACCUGAGGUUAUCGCACAAUCCGAGUUGUGGAUCACCAACUUAGGUUCUGUCAAACGUUGUUCCGUAACAGGGCAGUUAUAAAGGCAGAGUUCGGGUUGACUGAGAAUCAAGCUGUGUGAUGUGGAUAACCAAGAUGGGAUUUUGCCCCUCCGACUGGAGAGAUAUUCUCUGGGCCCUCUCGAGUGAUAUGAUUCGGGAAGCAUGGCCAUGCGCGACUUGGUUAACUGUUAACCGGGUCGAUCGACUAAGAGUUAGUCGGAUGAAUCGUAUAUCACGGAUCGAGAAGAGAGUUGAACUAUUAAAGGGAUGACGAUUAAUCGCCUAUAGUUCGACAAGAUAUAUCGUGAGGCAAAAGGGACUAAGACGUAUGUCACAUUGGAAGGUACGUCGUCAUGACUCGAUGGUACUUGGGAGUCGGCACGUUCUGCUAGGAGCCGCUACCGAUUGAUCGAUUGUGAGUCGGACUCCAAUCGUGUCCAAGUCGCCAUGAGCCUGCGGGGUCACACACUUAAGAGCGGGAGCAAAUAUUUGGUCGGGUUGGACCCGAACUGGAAUUGGGCUGACAAUGCGAGUUGGACUCGCAGGGUGGAUGGGCCACAAGGCUUGGAGCCCACUUCCACUCGAUAUAUAAGCAGGGGCGUGGGAUGCCUAAGGGGCACGGUUUUUCCACUCUCAUGCGUUGAGAACCCUAGCCCGAUUCAGUUCAACCGUCGCACCGGACCUAGCAGUCCGCCGCCGGAGCUCCUCCUCGCACGUGUGGAUACCGGCAGAGGUGCUGUACGUUGAGCACUUCGACGAUCGCGGGAUUGGAUCGGCUGGAUCGGAUCGAGGGACUGCACUGCAUCAAGGCGCCGCAUCGAUAAUCCGCAACUACGCGUCUAGUGGUAAUCCUCGUGGCCUUCUACCUCGGCUAGAUCUUGGGAGUUCGUGUAGGAAAAGUUUUUGUUUAUCUCUACGCGCCCCUUCAGUGAUAAGAGUCCAUUGUCUAUCACUUUUCCGUAGGUUUCAAGCCGGUUAUGCUAUUCCGCGUCACAACACAUGGUGGAGUUAGGCUAUAUAUUAUCCAACCCGCUUUCUCCCCUCACCUACUAUUCUUUUCGAUGGCGCGAUGUGACAAGAGUCCAUUGUCUAUCACUUUUCCGUAGAUUUCAAGCCCGUUAUGCUAUUCCGCGCCACAACACAUGGUGGAGUUAGGCUAUAUAUUUUGGCCAUGUCCACAAGUGUCGCCUGCGAUGCAGCCAUCAUAAAGUUCUCAAGAGGAUAACAGCGUGGGAGCAAGAUGCGUGUGGCUGGCAUUUUUUGAGCUUCUCUGAUGAGGGAGAAAAUGGGUUGGGUCAGUAAUAGGAAUAGGAGCAGGGCGGAACCACACCUAGGGUAACUGGAGCUACAGUCCUAGGCCUGAUAGUUAAUACAUGUACGCAAGAUUGGUGAUUUGACCAAAACAUUAACAAACAAAGGAUUAAAGGAUUAGCUCUAGGUUUCCAUACAUGAGCCUAGUUUAGCCCUAAACUUCGAACAAUCCUGGAUCCACCACUGGACAGGAGAAAAUGGCUUAACCAAAAACGAGUCCAAUUUGGACUUGCAACGUCAAUCCGAACAGUAAGCACAACAUGUUAGAAUCAGACCAACCGGUUAAAUAGGGGGUAAAAUCUGUCACAUAGGUAUAAAUAGGGUAAACAGUUAAACACCGUCAGAAAUUGCUAAGGGGUAAAGUGAAAUUCACUCUAAUAUCUAGGAUAGUACGAUAUCAAACAAGUGUACUACAAAGAUUAUAUAUCAUGACGAAUUUAAUAAAAUUAGUUUAGAAACGUAGAUGUUGAUAGAUAUUUUCUGUAAACUUGACCUUUCUAGACUUGCAGUUUGGAAUAGAGGUGUAAACAGGUUACCAGAUGCGAUGUGCGCCGUAGGAUGUCCAAGGCUCCAGGCAGAUGCUGCAAGUCGCCGCCGCCGCUGCCACCGCAGCAGGAUCCGAGCACUGAUCCCUUCGUCUUAUCCAUUCCUGAUCGAUCGAGCUGAGCGAGCCGAAGCCAGUGACGCCGCGGCACGAGGUAGCACGCCAGGCACAGAUGGUGGCGAGAGACAUAUAAAUCAUCAACAGGUCCGCGGCAGGUCCAAACGACAAGUCUGUAGUACAAGAACAUGAUCAGACCAGAGCUAGACCUCCAAGAACGCCCCCCCCCCGUCCCCCCGUGUCGCCCCUGUCUGCCGACUCGGGGGCAAACCCUACCGCCCAGCCGCCGCCGGCCCACAUCCCGAUCCCUCCCCUCGCCGCUGCUGGAGGCUGCCACUGACAAGCCCGGGAGCCGCCAGUGAAGGUAGCGGCAGGGCCUCUCUUUUUUUCUGCCGCCUCCACACCCCCGUGCAGCCCCAAGUUCCUCCCAACACCGCAUAGGGCGGCGGCUAGCCCCGGGGCGCGCCCUCCUCCGUCGGACCGGUCGCCUUCGCAGCCUCUUCCUCGACGGUCCGGCUGCUCGUGUGGCUCUAGCCUUUUCGGCCGGUGCUGCACGUGGCUGGCGGCAAGAUGGUGCAUGCCCCAGAUCUGCCGCGUGAGAGGCUCGGUAGGACCAUCCAAGCGUCUGCAGGCUGCAGCGGCACCCUGCCCCGACCCGCCGCGUUGCGGCUUGGCAGGCUCUCCCGUUGGCGGCGCUCCUCUGCCCCCAGAUCCUUCGUGGUCAGGGGCAUCAUUUCUUCUUCCUACCGGUGUCUCCAGGUAUGGCCCUUUGGCCCAGAUCCGGCAAGCGGCUCUCAGGCCGUCGUCCGACGCCUGUGCUGAUGUUGGUGGCAGUAUUGCCGAUGCGGUUUUGGGUUGUUUUUGGUGUGUUGAUUCAGGGGAAACCCUUCCUUUGACCUCAUGUCAAUGGCAGACACGCGGCGGCGCUUUUGAGCGUCGUUCACCUUCUUGGAGGCGUGCUCUAAAAAAUUCGCCACCUAUCACACCCUCUGGUCAUUGUUACUCCUAGUGAAAACCCCAGAUCUGGUCCUCAGAUCGGGCGACAAUGCUGUCUUCGACAACUUUCCUUCUUGAAGGUGUCGUCUUGGAGUACUUGUGCCGCAUUGGCCUCCUACUGUCUCUGUUGUUGGCUUGUUGUAAGAAAUCAAGCGGUGACACCAUGUAAUGUUACAGUGCUGCCUCAUCUUCCUCUGUUCAUAUUGCUGCUAGCGUCGCUCCUCAUUGGCUCCCGGUCAGGCUCACCAGGUUGAGGCUACCCCUUUGCAGUGGUUGAUAUCUUGUCCGUGAGUUUCGUAUUCUUGGUGAAGUCUCGGUGGUCCGUUUGCCCUUCGUCGGUACAGUUGGCACCCUACACCUCACAGUCCUUGGGGUUGUAUGAUGGCUCUUGAGCUCGCAGUCAAGGUUCGUGUUUGUGAUCUAGACUCGGUGUCACUGCACCCUUCGAUUACUCGUGUUGGACCAACUCGCGCAGUGAUGGCAUUCUUCGGCCGGCGAUUUUGAUGUCCGCAGCGUACUCUCGGUGUGUGAUGCCCUUCGACUAGAUUUCACUGACAGCAACACUCAUUGAUUUGCUGGUGCUCGGAUCCCCUCGGCCACCGUCCACGUGAGUGGAGUUCGUGCAACUGGUGUUAACUCGGCAGUGGUUCGUCCUUCGACGACAUCGGAGACACUCCACUCGUGCUCGCUAGAGCCAUUUCUUUGGUGGUAGUUCUCUAGCUCUGUUUUGCCCGACUAGGUUGUGCUUACGCGCUGCAGUUUUUGUUAUUUUUCGGAAAUGGUUCCCGUCGGCUUGUGUUGAAUACACAGACGUACUAGGACAAGCAUGCAUAGUUUAGCUGGAACACGGAUAUGAGGUAUAUAGUACGGCAAGAAUGACAAACACAUGCGGUAUGGGUACAUUACAAGUUUACAACCAUCCAUCGGCGUUCUCAACAGGUUUGGGGAAUGGAAAUUAAAAAAGAAGUUGAAUGACAAUCCCACUCCAUGAAAUCUAUCAGGUCUCUCGGUGCCUCUUCCUGUUCGCAUCCUCAGAAUCCACAGCAGGAGCAGCAGCAGCAGAAGUAGAAGCGGAAGCAGAAAAUGGGAAGCUCCGCUCCAUGAAUUCUACCAGGUCUGCUGCCGUCGUGUUCUCUUCUCGGGCCAUUUUCUUCAUCUGCUCCUUCAUUGACUUCAAGCUAGCGACCAUUGACACCUUUUCCUUCCACGUCUCUCCAUGCCAUCAGUAAGGGACUUCAUUUGUGUCUUCAUCAUUUCUCGCAGUUCUAUUUGUUGCUCCGAUAGAGCCCAAAUUUCUUUGUACCUUGCAAAUUCAGCAGCCUUUCGUUUCUCUAUAUCUGCCAAAGCCUCCUCCCUCACUUCAAGAAUCCUAAGCUCACAUUUUAGGUUGUGAUCCCUGAGAAUAGACUCCGAACGCUCCUUUAGUUCCUGUAGCAGCCAGUUGAUUGACAAAAAGAAAACUAUGUGAGAUGCCACAUGCAUUCAGCUUUAAAGAAACCAGCCUUUUCAAAAAUAUGCAUCGUCUGGUCUUACUUUAAAAUUAUGUGUAACGGACACUACAAUACUUCAGCAAUACCGAUGAAGACAACACAACUAUAUAGGUUCACAGGGGUUGACUAUGUGACCUUGUAUUAAUACAAGGAGAUUAACCAUUUCUAUAUAUGCUUGGUAUUAUAGCUAGCUACAGUUUCUCCUGAUAGUGUGGGCAUCAGUUGUGUCUUAGAUCUACCAUGACGGUUUACUCGUGAGUUAGAUGAUAAAAACCUCAAAAGAUAUCAAGCUAUAUUAUAUAUCUCUCUGAUGCAAGAACAAAAACUAUUGCUCCAAUUGAUCGAGAUGCGAAGAAUUCAUAAAUUGACACUUCUACAGAAGCACACCAGAAGAAAGAGGCUGAACCUGUAUGCGGCAGCAACCGUCCCACGGAUUUCCCGGGGCGUACAGAUUGAUGAUAGCGUUGUGGCCAAAUUGUGCUCCACACUGAGGGCACUGGAAAAAAGAUACAUAUGAAUUCAUGAGUUAAUCAAUUUCAAUGCAUAUACAAUAUAUACACCUGCAGCGAAUUGAUUUAUGAAAUGCAUGGUACCUUUGCACUGUUGGGGCCGGAAUUAUGCAGCCAUGUCUCUAGGCACGAUCUGCCGUACACGUGUCCGCAAGGAAUACAACUGCGUGCAGAUCAGAUAGAGAUAAUUAAUUGCACAAAAAUUCGGACAGUUCCCAUAGUUCAAGCACAACCCAUGCAUGGAUUGUGCUUUCUCCCCGUAGAAAAAACAAGAAAUACCCAUGCAUAUACAGAUCUGGAAUAAAAGGCAAACGACACACUACUAUGUCUCAAGUCUCAACUCCAACAUAAAAAAAUUAUACUUGUCUUAAUUCAUGAUGCAUUGUUUUUCUCUAAAUGCUUAUAUACUCUCCGUAUCCACGUAUGGCUAUUUUUAGAAUAUGUCGUACUCCCAUAUCUCCAUGUCCGUAUCGGAGUCGGGAAACUUCGGCAAUAACUCAACUAGACUCAUUCUAAAAUUGUAGCAACAAUGCUUAGAUUACAUAUAUAUGCUUAUGGUGCAGAAAAUCUACAACCUAGAUAAAUGGUUGUUGAAUUGUGAAAAAAAAAAUGAAGUGCAUUUACUAGUCAGUUUAGCAUCUGUAUGAGCCUCACAAAAUGAUUAUUGGCUAUCGUACAUAUACUACUCCAGUAUAUAUGUUCUGGUGAGCAGAUUCAGGACCAGAUAUGUAUUCUGAUGACCAUCUGGCUACAAUACGGAGACGGUACUAAUCAACUAAUCAGGGAUCUAAUACACAAACGAUGCUUCGCGUACAGAAGAACAAACACUACGAGAACACAGGCGAGGAUAGACACCAGAGAUAUAUGUUCUGAUCCAUCUGGCUACGACACGGAGACGAUAGUAAUCAGCUAAUCAGGGAUCUAACACACAAACACACACACGAUGCUUCGCAUACAGAAGAACACAGUACAGCGAGACGACCGUCUUCCUCACCAGAUAUAUCUUCUGAUAUUAUGACCAUCUGGCUAAUACGGAGACGAUUCUAAUCAACUAACCAGGGAUCUAACAAACACAGAGACACACGAUGCUUUGCGAACAGAAGAGCACAAACUCUAAACAGGCGAGAGCGUCUUCCUCACCAGAUACGGUGGUCGCUGUUGCAGGUCCACGGCUCCAUACAGAUGGCGCAGGACGGCGGCGGCGGCGGCGUGGUCAGCUGGAUGUCGCACUCUCCGGCCGCCGCUGGCUCCCCCAUCUUCGCGAUCGCCGGCGGAAACCCUAGCCGCACAAAUCGGAGGAAUGUCUAGUUGGGGUGCUGACCGGGUGGGGGGAAAUGGAAAGAAACUGAAAUCUAUCGACAGCCAGCGGCAGCAGCCAAGAAAAUUGGGUAGAAAUAAUGUCUUGGCGUCUAGAUUUCCGUGCGGGUACGAGGAAGGCCCAAAGGCCGGCCCCGUUAUGUCCACAUGCGAGGGCCCGGCACGGCCCCAUUGGGUUUCAAACGUGGUUCAAGAGAAGUGUUUUUUUUUCUGGAAUGUGAAAAGUUUGUGACACGUGUAGAAAACACACACAACGACUGCCAAGGCCUCGUCGGCCGUCUGCGGUGUCGCAGCCACAGAUGAAGAGACAUAUACUCCCUCCGAUCCAUAUUAAUUGCCUCAAAUUUGCCCAAAUAUGCAUGUAUCUAUGUAUAAAAAGCAUCUAUAUACACAUGUAAUAUUUCGAUAAUUAAUAUGGAUCGGAAGAAGUAUAUAGCAUUGGUAGCUCUGCUGCAUUAGGUCCACCACGACAAGUCAGAUGUUCUUGACAAAAGAUGAGUACAUGAUCAGACCAGAAGGUUGAAUACACAGGACUAGAGCAUGCAUAUAUAGUUUAGCAGGAAUACAGAAGAUGUAUAUAGUACGGUAAGAAUAACAAACAUAUGCGGUUUGGGUACAUGCAUUACAACCAUCCAUCGGUGUUCUCAAUCUCAAUAGGGUUUGGGGAAUGAAAAAAGAAGAAGGUUGAAUGACAAUCCCGCUCCAUGAGUUCUAUCAGGUCUCUCGAUGCCUCUUCCUCUUCACAUCUAGCAGACCGUCCAGGUGGUCUGGAAUGGGUUUCAGCAGAAGGUGAUUAAGGUGCCCCAGUGCAUUCUCAGAAUCCACAUCAGGAGGAGCAGCAGUAGAAGCAGAAGCGGUAGCAGAAAAUGGCGAGCAGGAAAUUUGUGACAGUUCAGGGAAGCUCCGCUCCAUGAAUUCUACCACAUCUGCUGCCAUCGUGUUCUCUUCUCGAGACAUUUUCUUCAUCUGCUCCUUCAUUGAUGUCAAGCUAGCGUUAACCAUGGACAUCUUGUCCCUCCACGUUCUCUCCAUGCCAUCAGUAAGGGACUUCAUUUCUGCCAUAAGGGACUUCAUUUGCGCCAUCAUUCUGUCUCGCAAUGCUGCAAUUUGUUUCUUCGAUUCAGCCCACAUUUCUUCAAUUGUUGCAAAUUCGUUAGCCUUUCGUUUCUCUAUUUCUGCCAAAGCUUCUUCCCAAAUUUCAAUGAUCCUAGACUCACAUUUUGCGUUGUGAUCCUUGAGAAUAGACACCGAACGCUCUUUUACUUCCUGUAGCCGCCGGUUCAUUGAGAAAAGGAAAAUUAUGUGAGAUGCCAUCUGCAUUCAGCUUUAAAGAAACCAGCCUUUUCAAAAAUAUGCAUGCAUCGUGGUCUUACUUUUAAAUUAUUUACCAUAAAAUUAUGUGUAACAGACACUACAAUACUCAAUUAGAUGGACCACAACAGUGGACCGACGAAGACGACACAAAUACACAACUAUAUAUAUAUAUAUAUAUAUAUAUCUUUUGCAGGAUCUUAUAAGGCUGGUGAGGCCAACGGAACUACCUACGGUUUUCGCAGUGAUGUAAUAAUCCUACUCAGUACUCACCGUAUUUAUUACUAUAUUGCUUCAGGAGUAGCUAAGUUUAUUUCCCUAAGCGUCUUUAGUCAGGUUUAUAUGGGUGAUUUCUUAUCGUCUUCCCAGGCAGUUCCACCCGAAGGGAACACUUCUCUACGGUUACAAGGUUCUCAUUUCAACGCCACACACACACGGCUUAACAGAGAACUACACGCAGAGGUUUCUCCUAUAGGAUCCCUAGCAUAAGCACCCACCCGUAUAAACAUGCUAAAAAGACCGAGGGAAAAACAAAACUACUUCAUUUCACAAUAUAGCUUACAUACGGUUUUCCCUUUCGGGAACCCCCGAAGGGUUCACACAAAGAUAAAAAAAUUACCUUACUACCUUCCCAGUCUUAUGUUACAAAUGCCUUGAUUAUACAGGCUUUAUUACAGUGGGAAGUGGUACUACUACUACUAGAAAGCAGAUAGUUUUCUGGCUAACUGCCCUGAACUACUUGCUAUUCUGAAGGCUUGUGUUGUGCUCGAUGGUUGUGUGUCCUUCAAUGCUGCAAAGAGCCUCCUUAUAUAGGCACCAUGGCUGGCUCAAAUAGUGCUCCCUUGCAUUAUUACCUCACCUUUCUCCAUGUCCAUGAUGCAUCUUCUUUAUAGGUCUUUAUAGGUCCUAGGCUUCUUUUAUAGCCUUUGGAUGCAUGCAUGCAUGGUGAUAAGGGGUCUUUUGGCCUGCCACUUCUCUUUGGUUGCAUACGAACGUGGCUUCUUUCAUCUUGGGAGUAGUCUUGUGUUUUAAUGAUAGUGUCUACGACACACUGCAGCCUUACUGUCUGCUUCCUUGACUAUUCUUCGUCUGCACACCAUAAAUCAUAGGAUCCCAUGUAUUUGUGAUCUUGGAUGCUGAUGAUGGGUCUUAUAUGCCUAAUACAUGCUAACGAUGGCUCUUAAGAUUUAAUAUUUUUCAUUAUUUUUGAUUAUUUAUAUUAAUUUUUUAUUAAUAUUUUUUUUUUGAUCAUAUUCAAAUCAAAUGAUAUUCUAUCAACUAUUCGGGCGAGGGUUGACUAUAUAUAUGAGCUUGUAUUAAUACGAGGAGAUUAAUCAAUUGCAUGAUCAAGCAGAACAAAAACUAUCGUUCCAAUUGGUCGAGAUGCCAACAAUUCAUAAAGUGACACUUCUAUAGAAGCACACCCGAAGAAAGAGGCCGAACCUGUAUGCGGCAGCAUCCGUCCCGCAGAUUUCCGGGCGCAUAGAGGUUGAUGAUAACGUCGCGGCAAAAUUCUGCUCCACACUGAGGGCACUGGAAAAAAGGGAAAAAAAUAUACGUAUGACGAUUGUAUGAAUAAUACAUGAGCUUAGCAAUUUCAAUGCAUAUACAAUAUAUACACCAUCGAUUUGAUUUUUUAAUGAAGAAGUAACAUGUAAGAUAUACAAAGAACCAUGCAUGGUACCUCUGCACUGUGGGGGCCGGAUCUAUGCAGCCACGUCUCUAGGCAUGAUCUGCCGUACACCUGUCCGCAAGGAAUACAACUGCGUGCAAAAGAUAGGAGAUAAUUAAUUGCACAAAAAUUCGCACAGUUCCCAUAGUUCAAGCACAACCCAUGCAUUGAUUGCUUUUUUUCUGUGAAAAAACGUGAAAAACCCAUGCAUAUACAGAUCCGGUAUGAAAAGCAAACACGCUACUACUGUCUCAAGUCUCAUCUCCGACAUAAAAUUUAUACUUUUCUUUAUUCAUGAUGCAUUUUUUCUCUAUAUACUUAUAUAUACUCGUCGUAUCCACGUAUGGCUAUUUUUAGAAUAUGCCGUAUUCCCAUAUCUCCAUAUUGCUCGUAUCCGAGUCGGACAACUUCGGUAAAUAACUCAACUAGAUACUCAUUCUAAAAUUGUAGCAAUGCUUAGAUUAUAUAUGCUUAUGGUGCAGAUAAUCUACAACCUAGAUAAAUGGUUGGUGAACUGUAAAAGAAGAAGAAGAAGAAGGAAUUACAUUUACUAGUCAGUUUAGCAUCUGUAUGAGCCUCACAAAAUGAUUGCCUGUCUCGUAUAUAUACUACUCCAGUAUAUUUGUUCUGGCGAGCAGAUUCAGGCCAGACCAGAUAUGUAUUCUGAUGACCAUCUGGCUACGAUACGGAGACGAUACUAACAAGCUAAUCGAUCAGGAAUCUAAUACACACACAUAUAUAGACGACAGAUGCUUCGCGUAUAGAAGAACACAAACACUAGACAGACGCGAGACGAGCCGUCUUGUUCACCAGAUACGGUGGUCGCUGUUGCAGGUCCAAGGAUCCAUACAGAUGGGGCAGGAGGGUGGCGGCGGCGGCGUGGUCAGCUGGAUGUCGUACUCGAAACCUCCGGCCGCCGCUGGCUCCCCCAUCUUCGCGAACGCCGGCCGGAAACCCUAGGCGCAAAAAUCGGAGGGAUGUCUUGUGGGGGUGCUGACCGGGUGGGGUGAAAUGGAAAGAAACUGAAAUCUAUCGACAGCGGCAGCAGGAAAUUGGGCAGGAAGAAUGUCUUGGCAUCUAGAUUUCCGUGCGGGUACGAGGAAGGCCCAAAGGCUCCGUUAGGUCCACACGCGAGGGCCCAGUACGGCCCAUUAUCCGUUAUGUCUUGGCAAAAGAUCACCAAAAGGGGAUCCCUGGAUCCACUGUUCAAAUAUUCAGCAACAUUCAUUUGAUAAUGUAUCUGCCAUGCCAUGGAAUUUCAAAUCCAAAUCAAAAUAUGAUCCAUCCACUCAUAUUUUGCAAAGGAUUAUUCCUUCCUUUUGUGAGGAUGCAAAUGAGUGAAUUGGCAACUAUGUAUGCAAGGGACAUACAACUAGCGCGCAUGAUACCCGUACGGUGCAGAGAAUAAAUGGAAAGCGGACAUCAGUUAUGUUUAGUUUAAAAUUGGGCCGUCCUGGAGUGUGGCAAAAAAUGCAAGUCCAUUCCCGAUCGAGCGAGCCCAAGCCCAAGCCAGUGACGCCGCGGCCCGCGAGGGAGCACGCCAGUCACAGAUGGGUCGCUCGUUGGGCCAGUAACAGCCGGCGAGUCGCACGGCUUCACACUGCUCGGAAUGAAUCAACAUGCAUACAUACAUGUGUGUGUGUGUGUGUUUUUCACAUGUUCAAUUGGGAGACACAUACUAAAUGCUCUCUGCAUGCCGUCAGUAAGGGACUCCAUUUCUGCUAUCUUGUCUCGCACCUCUUCAGAUUGUUCCUUCAAAACAGCCCUUAGUUUCUCAUAACCUGCCAAAGAUUCUGCCUUGUAAUUCUUUAUACAAAGAAUCAUGCAUGGUACCUUUGCAGUGUCGGGGCCGGACCUAUGCAGCCACGUCUCUAGGCACGAUCUGCCGCACACAUGUCCGCAAGGAAUGCAACUGUGUGCAUAAACACAACCCAUGCAUAAAGAAAACACAACCCAUCCAUAUACAGAUCUUAUAUGAAAAGCAAACACACUACUCUGUCUCAAUUCCUAACUCCCACAUAAAAACUCAUACCAGCCUUUAUUCAUGCUGUAUAUUUCUCGCUAAAUACUUACAUACUCGACGUAGCCACAAAUGGCUGUUUUCAGAAAAUGACGUAUUCGCAAUCCCAUAUCCCCGUGUCCGUAGCGCCAAGUCAUGCAACUUAGGUAAUAACUCAACUAGAUACUCAUGGCAGGUCAGCAGAGAGGAGGGGGGGACGGCGAGGUGGAGGUACCCGGGGAAGAGAGGAGGGGUGACGGAAGGCGAGGGAGAAGCUACUGCAGAACGGGAUGGCAGGUCAGCAGCAGUAGCACGGGCUUGGCAGUGUCCGCGGAUCAACGGCAGUCGCAUCAUACUAAGUGAUUAGAUCCUGAUUUCUUAUAAAGAAAUCAAAAUUGGUCACCUAAAGAACUGAUGAAAAAUUUGAAAUCGAUCUCCCUCGAUGUGGUCAGUUGAUGGCCUAAAGAAAUCAAAUUUGUUUACAGUUGAGUGGUCCUUGUACUAGGUUAAGAAAUAUCACAUGCAGAUCCUGAUGUUGUCAUAUGCGCGUGCAGCAGUUUAGUCAGAAUCUGGUAUUGUCAAGCUAUUGUUCUAUGUUCUAUUUUCUUUGUUCUAUGUUCAGGAUAUAUUGUUCAGAAAUUGUCUAUAUCAGCACUACUCUGUUCUUCAUGUUGUUCUAGCAAUAAAACCUGUUUUCUAGUCUCUUCAGGUUCUUUAUCAAGAUAUGACGUAUCUCUGCAAGCUCCGUCUGUUUAUGUGAUAUCAGCAACAAAGAGUUUUAACAUUAGUAUAUAUGCAUAUGCUAACUAAGGCUGAACCGUGCAUGUGAUAUGCUCUUGUACUAGUCCUGAACUGUACCAAGUUACUAACCGUGUUAAUUUCUUGCUCCAGCUCCAAUGUAUAGUUUUGAUAUUUGACAGCAUGAAUAUAUCUAUAGUUUCAUUACAAGAUGGUGGGACGUGUGCGUUCUUGGUAUCGUGACACAAGAUAAAGAACUCAGGCAUCGAGAGAGGGCCUUGAUCUGAGAAUUAGGUAAACCAUGGUAAAGAAACAAACUAGAAUGGGUGCUAGAAACAGAGCUUGAGGCUGUAAACAGUAAGCUACAGCUUCAGGACAAACUAUAAAUAAUUUUUAUUGGGUAAUUAUACUGAAUGCCAUGCAUUAUCUUUGUGUUGUCAGCUAAAACUGCAUUUAUGGUGAGAUACGUUUUGUCUGAAAUAUAACUUACAGUGUAAGAUAACGAAGAUAAAUAAGAAAAAUCUGGGCUGUGCAAAUUUAUUUGUCUAUGCAGUAUACUAAGGCCAUGUAAUUUUUGAGUUUCUUGUGAAUUUCUAGCUUUUUGCUUUGUCUUGCUUGAGAAAUACUAGACUGUGUAAUAAAUUUUGGCUGAAAUGGAUCCCAUGAAUCGGCCAGGAGGAGGGGAUGUUCUUUUCCAUUGUCUAAAAAUAGUGCAGUAUACUAGGCCAAACUGCACAAUUCUCUUUGCCAAAAUAAGCCGAACAAUCAAGUUACAGAAAUGUCUGGUACAAUGAUGGAGAAGAGGGGUUUUGGGCGAUACGAAGUCUUGCACAGAACAUAAAUUUUCCGGUUCUCUGAACCACUCCAAAUCUUUUUUCAAUGAUAGAUGAAAAUUCCAAGCCACUUUUCCUGAAGUAAACAUCUGAAUCAACAUUAAAUUAAUACUCCCUCCGUCCUAUAUUAAAUGGCUCAAAUUUGUCCAAAUAUGGAUGUAUCUAUGCUUAAAAAACGUCUAGAUACAUGUAAUAGAAAAUCACUUAAUAUGGAACGGAGGGAGUAAUAGGCGAGUAUCAGCAGUUUCUGUUAUACUGAUUCAACGAGUUACUUAGGAAUAGAACCGCUGUGAGCUCUCUAGUACGCACUAAAUGUUUGUUAAGGGCAAUACAAAAUUAAUCUUGCAAUUUCUAAACGACCUAAUUUAGGUGUUUCACAUAAAGAAAGCAUGAUUAGUAGUUCAUGUGGGUGCCUAUAUCUUCCUGGAGAUAAGUUGUGUCGGUGCACUGGUCCGCCAUGAACAUACUUCUUUGGCACUAUGGUAAGAUAUCUGCAUUUCAACCAGCCCAAAGAUUGAAAGAUAUGCAUCUCCCUCACCAGAUACGGUGGCCGCCGCCACCGCAGGCCCAGGGCUCCAUACAGAUGGGGCAGGAGGGCGGCGGAGGCGGCGUGGUCAAUAGGACGUCGUACCCUCCGGCCGCUGGCUCCUCCAUCUUCGCGAUCGCCGGAACCCUAGCCCCUCAAAUCGGUGGGAUUUCUAGGGCGUGGGUGGUGGGGGGAAUAGAAUGGAACCGAAAUUUGUUAUAGGUACAGCGGCAGCAGCGAAGGAAACGGGGAAGAAGGGUUUUGGCGCCUCGGUUCCCGUGCGGAUACGAGGAAGGCCCAAAGCUAAAUUAUUUCCCCCACGCGAGGGCCCAACGGCCCAUUCAAUUCCAAACCUGUUUCAAAAGUGAACUGUUUUUUUUCCCUUAUGGAUCAGAAAAGUUUCUAAUUCGGCCACAGACUGAUGAAGCUGGCCGCUGAAGUCACAAGCUGGAGGCUACCACAACCAGGGUCCUCACGCUCUACCACUGAAUCUUUCAUCCAGUGAAGUAUGUAGCAAUCCCUGCCUUCUUCAAUCAUUUUUUGUUUCGCUUCUUCCGUUCAUAGCAGACAAACAAGUACUAGAACUGGGCUUCAAAGUUGUAUAAUUGCGCUCAGUUCGUGCAAACUAUUGUUGUUUGGAGCUUCAUCCCAUGGCUAAAUUCAUCGAUUCAUGGUGAGUUUCAUUAGUCUGUACUUAUGUGUAUUUGUGUUUUGUUAUGCAAUGGAGUACUUUCUAGAUUAUGAAAACAGUGUGUUGCCCUUGAAUCCAUGGCCAUUUACAGAUUGUAGCAAUUGAGCACUGUGUAACAAUCAUUUUGAGAGUAAUUGCAUACGUGAUAGAAAGUAACUAAUUAAAUGUUUAGAUGUAAUUAAGCAUGCAAUUCCUCUUAGAGGUUCCUUGGUUUUUUAAUUUCUACUACAGUGCUACAGCUCAAUCUGCUUCCAGGUGAGAUAGGGGAGGUGCCUAUUGCUGCUCUUCACCUUCGAUUAUGAUCGACGGGCACAAACCACACGCUACCAGGUUAGUCCCCUAUCUCCUGUGCCUCAUGUGUCUUCAUACUCCUCACAAUAUUCUGGAUUCUCUGUUGGAUCUGAACUGUCUCUAGUGCUUGAUGUAAAUUCUAGGCUAAGAGUUACUCUAUGAUUCUGUUGGAUGUUCAGUGUAUGACAAUUACUUUAUGAGUUAAGUAGAUUUAGUUUUAAUGUUACGAGUUACUUUCCUAAUUUUUUUAGAUGUAAUUGUAAAUGUUAAAAGUUACAUCUACUUAUAUAGAUGCCCUUAACUUUGGUAUCAUCAGCCGGGGUUUUGUUUGGAACAAGAGAUUUCUAAUGUUUAAUUUUGUUUUUUCAUUUUGAAUAACAGAGUGAGAGGGCCUUUUGUUUAGAAUCAACCUCUAUUUUUGGAUGUGCAAUGAUUAUUUGAAGACAAACAAGAGAAGAUAUGCAAUAGUAAGUACGGAUGGCAUGGGAUCUAAUUGGAGUUGCUGUGCGAUACGGUUUUGAAACCUGAGUUGUUACUUUUAUUUUGGAUCUAAGCUUCUACUUUUGUUGGACCUGAAGUGGUUCGUGUAAAUCUACGUGCUUAGCUAUACUUAGUUGUAAUUCCUGGGAUUUUAGGGAGACAGUGAUUUGAUUUUCUAAUCAUUGUUGGAUUUAAAUUUGAUAGUUGUAAUUCCUGGGAUUAUAGUGAGACGGUGAUUUGAUUUUUUUAAUCAUUGUUGUUUGUAACAAUGGAUUAUAUAAGGAUGUUAGAAACCAGGGGAACCUAACCACAUCCCACAAAUUUACAUAAGUUUGUAUAUCCUUGAGAAUUUUUAUGUUGUAAUAAUGGCAGCAGCUUGUAAAGGGAGCAACGCACGGGGCUUGGCGACCUAUGGCGGACGAAGAAAUCACUAAUGUGUACUACUCGGAGAAAUCAGGUGCUUGCAGAGAGACCAUUUCAGUUGCUGCUUGCGAGCAUACAUGCAGAAAGACCAUUUCAGUUGCUAGCGCCUCGGAGAAACCAAGCGCCUACAAAAUCUGGACAAGGACAUUCAAAUUUUACGCCUCCUAAAACCGGACGGCGGGAGUAAUGCGUAUGAGCUAAGGUGCGGGAGAAACGCACAGGCCUGGAGACCUACAACGGACGAAGAAAUCACUAAUGUGUACUGAUCGGUAGUAGUACAAGCUAAAGUGCAGCCGCACGGACGCAUCAAGUCGUUUUGGGAAAUGCGAAACGGCUACAGGCUUUUUGGGUUGUCGGAGAGCACCGGCUAAGACCCGCACUCCCUAGCCAUCCCCUAAAAACAAACACAUUGUUCGAGUUUAAUCUAAAAAAAUAGAGCUCGAUUUCCUCUAACAAAAUUCAAAAUUAAAUAUUUUAAGUUUGCCAUUCACUACUACACCUAGUUCUGCAAAAGAUGACCAAAUCAGGAAGGGGAGCAUAUCAGGUGCGCUAGUGUACUAAUAUCCCUGGAUCCACCGUUUCAAAAGACAUAAAAAUGACUUGAAGAAAUCCAGCAACAUUCAUUGGAUAAUGUAUCUGACAUACAAUGGAGUUUCAAACCCAAAUCAAAAUAUGAUCCUUGUCUUGAGAAAUUUAAAAGGCAAAUAUGACUGCGAAUACAUAGUACGACUAGUUACUGUUUAUCCUAUUGCCAAAUAAAUAAUUUCUACUAGAACCGUCUUCUCUUGGCGGCAACAUCAUCAAAAGGACCAGACCCUUGUCCACGAAUGUUUGAGAACUGAUCAUCACGGUGUUGCCUUGAUCUUCCCGAAGUUGUUGCAUCACGGACGGUUGGAGCAGGAGUGAAACUAGAUCUUCCCCGGUUCGUCAUGCCAUUGACGAUGGGAGCAAGAGUACUCGGACCAGGUUCCCUCAAAGUUGUUGAAUUGCUGGUGCUAGCACCCGGAGUAGGAGUCAGACUAGAUCUUCCCCAAAUUGUGCCAUUGUUGGCGGUGAGUGUAGGAGCAAGGACAGAUCUUCCCCAAAUUGGGGCAGCAUUGCUGGUGGGAGCAGCAGCAGGAGUAGUGAGACCAAAUUGCCCCAAAGUUCUUGAACCAUUGGCGUUGGGAGCAGGAGCAUGACUAAGAAGACCAGAUAUCAUCCCCCAAGUUGUUGCAUUAUUGGCGUUGGGAGCAGGAGCAGAACCAAGAUCAGAUCUCCAAAUUGUUGCAUCGCCAUAGGAAGGAGCAGGCGUGAGAGUGAGUCCAGGUAUGUCAAGCAGUGACAGAUGGGAAGGCCAAUACCGCUCCAUGAAUUCCAGCAGAUCCUUGGGCGUCCCUUCCCCUCCUUCAGCCAUCCUCUUCACCCGCUCCUUCACUAACGUCAGGUAAGUGCUAGCGAGUGCAUUUUGUUCACUUGACUUCCUCACCACGUCGGCACAUUGUUCCCUCAAGCGGGCAUUCACUUCUUCCUGCUUAGCCCGUAGGCUCUCCGAUCUCUCUAGUCUUGUGUCUGAAGUCACAUUAUCGGAAAGUGCAGAGAGAGCAAACCUCGUCGUAUAUUCGAGUAGUCGUUUCUUCGAUAGUUCUUUCCUUGCAAGCAUAGACUCGUAGUGCUCUUUUACUUCCUGCAUUGGCAUGAUCAAGAAAAGAGUUUGCUUGUGAGAUGUAGUGAAGGACAUAAUUCAAACGAAAAACUGUUGGAAAAUAAACCAAAUCAAAGAGAGAGAGAUCGAGAGAGAGAGAGAGAGAAUUAAUUAACCUGUAAAGGACAACAACCAUCCCACAAAUUUCUUGCCGCGUAGAGGUUGGUGAUUUGCUGGAUUUCAAAUUGUCGAGUACACAGUGGGCACUGGCAUGAAGAUGGUGGAUAUAUGUUUUGCGUAAGUAAGUUUAGUUUGUGAAGAACAAAGUUCUGUUAACAUAAAUAAAGUAUAAGUACCUUAGCACUCGUGUUAUUACUAGCAUGAUGCAUCCACAUCAGUAGGCACGAUCUGCCAUACACAUGUCCACAAGGAAUACAGCUGCAUACAUGCGUACAACAGAUACGAGAUAUAUGAUCAAUGCGUACAACAGAUACGAGAUAUAUGAUCAAUGUGUAUAAAAUUCUCAUAGAACACCUUUGCACUUCCAUACUUCCAUACAUGUAUACAUACUAGUUUGUACCAAAUAAAGAAUAAAAUUAAGGUCGUUGAAAAAAGCCUAGCUAGUUGUCUGAGAUGUACAUGAUCAAUGAUUGAUGGGAUGGAAUAGGGAAGCGAACGUUCGCUCCCUGGUCUUUCGUCACGACGGCUAAAGUUGCCAUCUGCACAGAACUAAAGUUGCUAACCCUACAGAACUAAAGUUGCCAACCCUACAGAACUAAAGUUGCCACCCCCACGAAAUUAAAUGUUCGCUCCCUAGUUUUCUGGCGCGACUGAGUAAAGUUGCCACCCACACAGAACUAAAGUUGCCAUCCUCACAGGCCAAAAUUGCAAUCCAUACAGAACUAAAGUUGCCACGCCACAUAACUAAAGUGUCACCCCCCACAAGACACGUGGCGAGAUCUCAGGCACAGUCUUCUCAAUCGGAUGGCCAGCAGAUCGUUCGCUCCGAGAUACUAAAGAGCGAACGUUCGGUCAAUAUAAAUUCCAAUGAUUAAUCGAUAAUGAAUUGGCAUUGUUAGAUCCCAUGCCCAUAAGGCAAUAAGGCACACAAAGGGCCUCCUGGGCUUAUUUAAUUCACAAAAAUGUGUUAGCAAAGGCUAUUGUUCAUUUCGUCAAACAAAUUCAACAUCUAUCAAGAAUUUUAUGUGAACAUAUCAUAGAUGCGAGCCAUGUAUAUAUGUUUUUAACUUGAGGCAAAAUUUACAACAUGUAAAGCAUGGGGGGGGGGGGAAAUAAAACAGAGUCAAGAGCGUCUCGCUCACCAGAUGCGAUGCUCGCCAUCACAAGUCCAAGGUUCCAAGCAAAUAUGGCAAACGGGCGGCGGCGGUGGGGUCUCUAUGCCUUCGCCCCCUUCAGCCACCGCAUUCAUCACCACAUAGUAAGAGGGAGUCGGCUGCCUCAAUUCCUUUUCUCCCAAUGACCGAUCAAGGAACCUGCACAAAGCUGCUACAUAUUUCUAAAAAAACAUCCAACAAAAAUUCCACUCAGAUUUGAAUUUCUUGAGUAAAUCCCUACCUGUUUCUGACAACCUGUAUGAGGAGAUGAAAUUCGACAACGGCAGCGGCAACCUUUGCAACCAGGAAAGUAGAUCUAGGAUGGAGCUCUACGGGUGUGGAGGGGGCGCCGACGGGAGGGCAGCGAGAUGUGGGAGAAAACCAAAGAUUUAGGGUUAAGGCGGCUGCUAUAUAUAUGUGAGAGGAUGAAAUUUGUACAGUAGGAUGAAGAUCUGAUAGUGUGGAAAAAUGACAUUUGGCAAGUUUAGAAUCAGCUGAAUUGUAAUUAAAUACUCCAACAAAAAAUCUGCGAUCACAUCUUCUGCAUUUAAGUAGGGAACCCCACUACAUUGAUUGCUUCUCGUGAGGCCACGUCACCUCAAUUUCCUCCGCUCGCAGAAUUGGCUAGCUUUGGUUGUUAGCUUUUUUUUUUUUGAGAAUGCACUUGGGCAGCCUAGAGCCCAAAUUCCAUCUAGAGCCCAGCUAGCCCACGUUCUAUCUAGAGCCCAGAUAGCCCAGUUUGUACAAAACUGUUUAGAGCCCAGCUAGCCCACGUUCUAUCCAGGGCGACGGCCCGGACUCGAAGGAGCCAAGGAGGCCGAGAAAUCACUCCUUCAGUCCAGUCGUCUCAUCACGUCGGGCCUCCCUGAAAUAUACGUAUAGUCCGAGGGGUUAUGUGCAAACCGCGACAGGGGAAGAGGCGACCGGAAUAUCUCCCCCCUUCUUCCUCUUCUCCGGCGAGGCUCCGAUCCCGCGGGCCACGGCGGCCGGAGAUGGCGAGGAAGGGCGUGUCCUACGUGUCGGCGGAGCAGCUCGUGUCCAUGGCCCGCGACCCCCGCGUCGCCAUCGUCGACGUCAGGUAACGCACCCUCCUCUCGCCACCGCGGGAACCAUCGAUCGAUGUGCUCUGCUGCUGCGGUGUAGCUAACGGGGGGAUAUAUGAAGGGAUGAGGAGAGGACCUGCGACGCGCACAUCGCCGGGUCGCACCACUUCGCCAGCGACGGCUUCGCAGAGCGGCUGCCGGAGCUCGCCGAGGCCACCAGGGGCAAGGAAACCCUCGUCUUCCACUGCGCCCUCAGCCAGGUCCCUUUCCCUCCUUCACAGCUCCUCCCUCCUAGUUCUUGGUUUUUAUUUUUCGAACGAUACUUGCAAGAAGGCAAUUAGAACAAUGGGUGCAGAAAUGUAGUUUUUAUGAAGUUUGCACGGUUUGCACCGAACGAGGAUUUUCACCGGAUACUUUGCCUUAGAACAAUGGGUGCAGAAAUGGCAGAAGGUAUUGCCUGCCUUGAAGGCAUCAAGUUAGCCAGGAGAUUCAGUCAUUUGCUGUUGAUCAUGGAGAGCGACUGCAAGAACCUUAUCUCGCUCCUCUUAGACGAUUCUGAAACAAGAUCAACGCUGAGACCGGUUAUCAAGGAGAUUCAUCACCUCGUUCCUUUUGAUCCAGGCAUCAAGUUUACUUUCUCUAGUCAUCUUAACAAUGUGGUUGCUCAUGAGUUAGCAAAAUUAGGUUUGAAUGCUUUACAGGGUGGUGUGCUGAGUGAAGCUGUUCCUCCCUGCAUGGAGCGUUUGUUACAGCUUGAUUGUAAAAACUGUUUUGAUAUUUACCACCAGUUCAAAAAAAAAGAACAACGGGUGCAGAGUGGAAGCACAAGUUACAGAGUUGAUUUAGCUUGUCUGUUAGCUUGAUCGAUGUGAUUGAAGGCCCGUAGUUUUCUUUAAUGAUGGCAAUUUGAAUGUGCUAUGUUAGCAGGACAUCUACAAGGUGGUUGAGACUGGAUUUAGUGUUAAAUUUGAGAACCAUUUUGACUUCGAGGGUUUCAUAGACAUAACCAAUAAGGAGAAAGCUUGCUCAAACAAAAUAAAUGAAAAAGGAGACAGCUUUUGGCCAGAAUUUUUUUUAUCGUAUCCAUAUGACUUUCUCAUUUUCCUUUCCUGGGUUCCGAGUCUGUUUGAUGUGUUAUUUUUUACUGUGGUUUCAACACUAUUCAUGGUUAUAAGAUACCAGGGUCAGAUUUGUUCUAUUUCCUUGCAACGGUUGUGUGCUCUGAGCUUGAUGAUCAAUACUCCCUCCGUCCCAAAAUAAGUGACGUGGAUUUGUAUAGAUUCUUAUACAAAUUCACGUCACUUAUUUUGGGAUGGAGGGAGUACUUGUUUCCUUUAUGUCCAUAGGUUUUGAAUGAAUGGGUACUUCUAAAUUUUAAUAUAAGCUGUAGGUUUACAUUCAAUCGAGAUCUAUUGCUUAAUUUUACUGCUACUUCUCUUGGGCCCCUGAGUUGCUACAAUUCACACUAGAACCAAUAACCUGUACUUUGUGCUGUUUGUCUUUAGCAAAUAGACUCUGCUUUUGUAGCAGCCAUGUUACUGUAUCUUUGUUUCUCCUAUAUUCGGUAUUGUAUAUCACUUGUAUUCUUUCACCGCAAAUUUUAUGUAUCAACUUAAGGUGAGGCUAACCUGUCCCCUCAAACUGCAGGUGCGCGGUCCAUCUUGCGCACGAAUGUUUCUGGACUAUUUAUCAGAGGCCAAGGAAGAUUCAGGGGUAAAGAGCAUCACGGUCCUCGAACGUGGAUUUAAUGGAUGGGAGCUUUCAGGGAGACCUGUUUGCCGCUGCAAGGACGCUCCUUGCAAGGGUGUGUGCUCUUGAGUAUUUGAUGUCAAGAUGAUGCAUUUUUCAACUGUAGGGCAUGCUGCUCCGCACAUUACCAGAGUGAUCACUAUUUACAGACUAGCCAUUUGUAGGGGAUUAUAUCUAUGGCACAUUAGAAUGGCACGUGGACCAUCAAUGUGCUAUGUGGAUCUAUCUAUUGAAUAACAGUCAUUUUCAAUUUUUCAUGGCAUGUAAACUGGCAAACCUUAUUGGCAAGAAAAUGUUUUGCGAGCUGAAGUUCUAUUAUCUCUAUGUUCUCCGCAAUAUGCAUGCUUGUUUCUAGUUUUUGUCACAAAACUAGUAUUUGUACUGUGAUUAUGUUUGCUGUUUACUCUUCACAAAGAUAUAUUUUCUGAAGUUUCAAUUUGUGUCACUCUGAUUUGUCAAGUCAUUCCUAAUAGGUUAUAGGUACAUAUGCUCAUUCAGACAAGUAUCUUUUUCUGCUUUGUUCUAUGUUCGUGCUUUUUUGACGCACGAUUGUUCAGUUCUCCUUGCACAAAAUCCAGUCUAACACAGAAAAGAAAAGCUUACAACAAAUUCUGCAUGUGUGGCUUUUAGUUUCAGCUGUCAUAACUUUUUUUUGCAACUACAGCUGUUUUAACUUAUGUUGGAGGAUAUCAGAGGGAAAUAUUUUCCUUAAUGUUUGCAGGCUCUUGUUCAUGCCAAAGUCAGUAAAAGAAUGUUUCCACAUUAUUGGAAUUUCGAAAGAAUAAUGUGAUCAUGAGUGGUUUAUUAGAAUGUGACAAAACUUAAACAACCUUUUCUUUUUGGAAUAUAAGUGAAACCAUUUUCAUACAACAAGCUUGGACAUCUAGUUCAUGGAUGUAUGGACCAUGAGAACAACUCUACAAGUAUAUAAAUGUACAUUUUCACAAAUCAUUCCUCUGUAAUACAAUCUUUAUACUUCCUUUACCAAAUGAAUAAAAUUAAUUUCCUGUACAGACCUUGCCAGUUUGUCAGUCCAUUACUGUUCUGUUGUUACACUAUACACCACUUGCAAACCAUCCGACUGACCGCUAAAAAUUGCGAUAGAAUGUGAAGAAUUGACAUUCUGAACUUCUGGCAAGAAAAAGUUCCAUGUCUGGUGUGCUGAUGCUCAACUAUUGAUCUUGUCGGCUAGGCAGCAAGUGUGAGCUGCACGCUGUUGUUGCACAGCUGCAACAGAUUAGAUGUCAGCAACCAACAAAAAAAUCCCUUAGCGAUGUGCCUCUCCCUUGGGUCUUCACCUCCUCCAUGAUCCAACAUAACUACUCUGAGAACGGUCUAGCAAAACCUCCAGCUCCCUCAACACUUGCCAUGUGGCAUCUCCCUCUUCUAAACGGCGGUUGAAGACCAGCGCCUUCCGCUUCACAGGGUCCCACAAGUUCUUCUGUAUCACUGUCAAGUUGGUUGCCACAACAUGGUCUAGCACCUUUUCAAGACUGGCGACAUCCUUCUCAGCCACCUGCAACGAGAUAUCUGACCACCGAAGGACAGAAGGGAAUGGCAGCCGUAUAUUAUCAGCAAUUAUGACAGGAAUGCAACCGAGGAGGACCGAUUCCACAAGCCGAGGGCUCCAUGGUGCCCAUCCCAGAGGGCAGAGGCAGAACAAUGAGCGAGCCAUCUCUGAUCGAUAGUUGUCAUACCGCUUCCGCUUAAGGUAGAACUUGCUAUUGCGACCAUACCGUUGUAGUAGCUCAGUCCUCACCUUCCUGUUGCAGUGAAACGCAAGAGCCAGUAAAUUGCAAAUACAAUCCAAUGCAGUUAAACUUAAUUUACCCAUUGAUAUCCUGUUAUAGUGCUACCCAUAAGUACAUCUAUCAAUGAAAUAAUGGCACUUAGGAAUGUCUUCACAUUUUUGCCAAGCAAUUAAACCUUUCCAUUUUUAUAUUUUACGGUUUUUCUUAAGGGACUAUUCAGGCUAGCCCCAUGGAGUGGAGUAGUUUAGAGCAAUAUGGAGGAGGCAAGGUCUAAAAUAGCAUAACACCCUUGCUAUUUCUUUUGAGAUUAUUGCUAGAUGAAGCGACUAAAAGAAAAGGAAGGAUUUGUGGUAUAUGCUUACUUGCUGUAGAAGCGGCCACUAAUGUUCUUAGGGUGGACCUCCAUCUUGCCUCGGAAAAAAGCAAAAAUGUCCCUCCGUGUCUUCUCCAGUUCCAGUAUCUCAAGAGCCACCUCCGGAGGCACGUGUGGCGGGAUAACCACGUGCUCCGCCUCCUGGCACACGUGAGGUCCCUGUACACCGAAUGUCUGUAGCAGGAUUGACCUCUUCAGGAAGUCCGGUAUGCCAUCCGCGAUGGCCACAUCCUCCUAAUCAAACAAGUUGAACAAAUUUAGUGUGUUUGUGUAGUUUCCAUUAAUCUGCAAGGUCUUGGCAAAAGUGUUGAGUGCAAUCGCAAACGGACGAAGUUCCAUCAUGACAACAGAAGAGAAAUUCAGAUGCUUGAAUUGGGUGAUUAAUUCCCUUGAGUAUGCUAGGACAGGCCAAACCGUGUCAAAUUCAAUUCAAACAACCACGCUCAUUCCUUUAUCUAAAAGUUCCAUCGUGACAACCUCAGAGGAAUUCUGAUAAUUGGGUGGGGGGGAAGUGGAUCCCCUAGGGUCAAAUUUAGACACUAAUAAGUAAUAAUAAUAGUACUGAAAUUGAUUCACCUCAAUUGAUCCAAAACUGAACUACAUUCUCAAGAAUAGAAUCCACCUUGGCCACUCCCUAUCACGAACAGGUAGUUCUAUGCCGUUUAUAACCAGAGAGCAAGCAAAGCAAGCUUCCAUCUUACAAUCUCCCAUUUGGACGCAAGGAACCUACCAAACCCACACGCAACCACCUGCAAUGCAACAAACCGGACAGCGAAAACAGCAGGAUUUAGCAAAAGGCCAGAGCGGCAGGGGAGCCACUCACCAUGGGGUGGAAGCACGCGCCGAAGUCGUGGGACGCGACGAAGACGUGGUCGGCGCCGGCGGAGCGGUUCCAGUAUGGCGCCUCCCGGCGCACGAGGUCGACGGCGUCGGCUAGCAACCCGCGCGCGUGGGACAGCGACGGGAACCCGUUGGGCGUGGAGAAGUUGCAGGAGACGUACACGGGGACGAAGAAGAGGUCGGCGUCCUCCGGGCGCACGGCCGAGUAGUGCCCCAGAAGGGCCUCGUGCAGGGCGACCUCGGCGGCGAAGAGGUGGCGCGCGCACCGCGGGUCGGCGGCGAGCCAGUCUCGGUUGAAGCGGCGCGGGAGGUCGUAGACGUAGAUCCGGACGGCGGGGGGCGGCGCGCUCGUGGUUUCCUCCGCGAGGGCGCGGGGCUUGUGGUGGAGGAAGGCGGGGGGCCGGCGGAGGAGGGGGGAAGCGGCGGGAGGGGCGGCGGAGAGGAAGAGGGAGAAGGAGAGCGCGAACCAGAUGAGGAGGAGGAGCCAGGGGGAGUGCCUCCGGAGCUUGUCGGAGAGGCUGGGGGAGGCUGCUAGUCUCCUCGCCGCCGGUGGCAGCGGCAGCGGCGGCUUGGGGAGCUUCGGAUCUCUAGUCAUGGCGGACGGCAAAGCUAUGCCUUUUUCGCCCAGGGACACGGCAUCGGCUCCCGCGGGUUUGGUUUGUUGACUAGAGCUGGAAAAGUUUCUUUCCGUUUUCCCCUUUUUAGUUUGGUGUAAUUAGGCUGUUAAUAAGAGGGUGUUCUUGACUUAAUGAGGCCUUCAAUGAUUGUAUAAGUUCGGUACUACCAUGUAUACAUGAUUUACUCCAUCAUCAAUGAUGUGGAGAAUGAUUUAUGCGGCAUAAAAUUGAUACUACUGUGCUCCUUCCGUUUCAUAACUCUUGUCUCAAAUUUGUCCAGAAAUAGAUGUAUCUAUUCAUAAAAAGUUUCUAGAUAUAUGUAACAUUUCGACAAGAAUUAUGGACGGAGGGAGUACAAUUUUAUUUGUAUUCGAAGUUACUUAGUGAUGAUGCAAUCUUGUAUGCAUGGACCAUAUGGCUUGUGAAGUAACCGUUUAUUAAAGCUUUGAAUUAAUGUAUAACAAACCAAGGAAGAGAGGACGGAGAGGUAUCAAUAGCCAACACAUUAUAUUCAUAAUGGUUGCUUUCUAUUAUUCAAAAGAGGUUAUGUUUGGAAGUUUUUUGUUCUAAUUACUUUUUUAUCCUCGUUUUUUUAAAUCUAGCUUCAAGUGGCCUUAAUAUUUUCAAGCACCAUAUGUCCGAGCACAAAAACAUCCCAUGGCAUUACAUUGAGUUUUGUGGUCUCGAUGCAGUCUCGAUUCACAUAGUGCUUAGAGUCGUGUGGUGGUUCCUAAGUUUGCUGCAAAACUUCCAUGCUUGUGGUGGCAUGAAUGGAACGAUUCGUAGCGAUGGUAGCUCUUUCGUCUAGUAAAGUUGUUGUCUACGGCUUUUUGUCUUGCCGCAAUUCAACGGAGGUAAAAACACUUGCGGACACACAAAAUGUUUGGGACGGAGUUGGUGCGACAAUGACACCACAGGCACUCGUUCAUGUGACAUCGGAAAUUGUUUAUGUUUUGGUGGUCUUUGGUUGGUCAGAAAAUAUCAUUUCAGUGAUACUAAAAGAAAGGGAAAAAAAGAAAAUUCAGAUAGCGCUAUGAGUACGAGUGACUCUCAGAGACACUACCCGCUUUGUCCCCGGGUUCUCUCCUGACCAACGGCCGAUCCCCUUCCACGUGUCAUGCCCCAGAACCGUCCGAUGGGAGCGAGCCGUCGCCGUCCGAUGGGCGAAGAAGAGGUCAAAAAAGAAAAGGCUAAAAGUGGGCCCCACCCGAUUUAGCCCUCGAAGGCCAAAAUUAACCACAGCGGUCCACGUCCCAGCGCCCACACACCCUGGUCUCCCUGGACUGAGCCUAUAAACCCAGCCGCACAGAGCCCCAAGGAGCACGCUCAGGCGGGUUCCCUGGACCGGGUUGACGGACGGACGGACGCAAGGAAGCGAGCGGCGUCUUCUUCUUCCCCCUCUCUUCUUCUCCGACCUCCUCCGCCGCGACAGAUAUUUCGACCGCCGCCGUCGAACAGACCGCACGAGCUGGGGCGAAGCCAUGAACUGCCUCCAAAACCUGCUCAAGUAAGUAUUGCGUGCGUGUGUGAGGGAGGCGGGGAGGGGAGGUAUUCGAUUUGCGCCGCGGGGGGAGGGGGGAUGUUUCGUGUGUUGCAUGUGUGGAUUUGGCAGCUCGGUUGAUUUUUGCUGCUGCUGCUCGCCCAGGGAGCCUCCGAUCGUGGGAUCCAGAUCGAUGAGGCGGCCCUCGCCGCUCAACCUGGUGAGCCACCUCUCUCCUACCAUAUCCAUUUUCGUUUUACCCCCUAUGGAUCGGGUGUUGUGGUAUUAAUCUCUUGGUUUUCCGCCGCCGGUGGAUGGAUGGAUGGAUUUCCAGGCGAUGGUUCGUGGAGGGAGUCGCCGCUCGCACACCGUCAAAACCGUAAGCCCACUUCUCGAACGCCUGCGAUUCCAUGUUCCGGGCGAGUAGAUAGAGAGAUACAUAUAUUGCAGCGGCCGGAAUCGCCGUUGGUUACUGUAAAUUGCAGCCACAUUUGGUGCACCGUUUGAUCCAUGUACCGUUAGUGCGCGUAUCAGUGUCAGCUUCCUUGCGGCUGAAUGUAUUAAUGGCUCUGCACCUGCCGUUUCAGGCAUCUGGGGCGUCAACUUCGAGCGCGGAGAACAGCGCGCUGGAGCCGGGCGGGGAGAAGUCUGAUACGUAUAGCACCAACAUGACACAAGCUAUGGGAGCAGGUAAAGUGAGACAGCCAGCUUACUUACGCCACUCGUUCCCUGUUAUCUAUCUGCAAGGUCUGAUGCCACUGGCUGUAAUGCUGUAUCAUUGCUUGUCGGCUUGAGGUCGACUGGCUAUUUUCUGACUUAAUGAAUGCAAAACAAGAAACGGUCCAGCCUCACAUAGAUGUCACCAUCAGAUUUACUGACUCAAGCUAAUUUUAAUCGAUUGAAACCAUUCAGAACAAGUUUUUUUAUUCUACCAUCCUAGUUCAACCUUUUUGUUCGUUCACCUUUAUGAAUUUCUUGGCUUUAGCAAACAAUUCUUUAAUCUAAACUUUCUGCAAUAUUGCCUACCACUUAUCUGACAAUCUUGAGGACGGUGCUACCUACUUUACAUUUAGUAUUGUUCCUCAACUGAAAGCCUCCCUAUUUGCUGCUAACACAUUGUUCUCUUGCCCAUCUGAAUUUUCUUUCUUCAUUAUAUUGUCUAGUUUUUUUUAAUAUAGAAGCAUUUAAAAUUUGAGUACUUCCACCACCUAAUUAAGCACAAUUUCCUGGAAUAAGAUUGCAUACCUUAUGCUCCUUCCUAGUUAAGUCUCGUCCACAAAUUCUUUCCUGAAAUACUUGUUCUUUUUCCAAAAAUCAUUUCUAGUGUUGACGUACAGACAUGAGCUUGGGAUGAAUUACAAUUUCAUAUGCCCGGACUUGAUCGUAGGCUCCUGCUUACAGGUCCUCAUCUCAACCUUUUGUAAAGAAAAAUUACACAUCUGACUCCUUCUGAUUAUCUGCUCGCAUGUGCAGAGCCCACUUGAUGUUGAUAAGCUUCGGGAGAUUGGUGUGAAAACUGUAUUCUGCUUGCAGCAAGAUCCGGACCUUGAGUAUCCUUGCCAUUGAAGUUUAUUUUGUCUUAUUUUGGAUAGAAAUGAAGAAGUAUCUUUAAUAUGGCUGUUAAGCUGGCUUGUUUCCGAAAUUAUAGAUUCUCGAAAAAAAACCUGCAGCUUUUCUAUGAUUAAGAUAAUUAAAGAAUUCGAGCCAGAACUUUCUAUCCGAACUGGUAGUUUCUCUGCAGCUAUUUUAUUAUCCGCGUGUACAUACAUCUUCCAACAUGAUUUAGUUUUUAUCCUAACACAUAGUUUUUUUGUUUUACUUCCACUGCUAUGCAUUGGUUUCUUUCAGUGAACAUAUGUGUUCCAUCCUUCACUGCUCUGCUAAGAUAUUUUGGAGUUGACAUCUGUGCCAUUCAAGACUACUGUCUAGAAUGCAAAGAUAUUGAGCACUGCCGUGAAGAAGUUAGGUAUUAAAAAUUCUAUUCUACAUGAGUGCAUUUUAAACUGGAACCAAGAAAUUUUGGCAUACUCUAUGCCAAGUACAAGUUAUGUAGUUCCUUGUCCCAAGGAGAAACAGUUAAAGUGGAGAAGUAAUUGUUCCUCUUUGGGUUUGAAAAUUGAUCAAAUUUUAGAGUUCAUUCAGCUGUCCUUUAGUUGCAAAGAAAUUACCUACCUUAUUGUUAACAUUUAUAAUCUGUAUUCUCCCUAAUCUUGUAGAUUUUAUCCGUUCAGAAUAGAAAUAUUUCAGUGUGGACUUCCUAUACCAUUUACUUUCACACACAAAAAGAAUACUGUACGGACAUCAGUGGAGUACUUUUUUUUUUCUUUCAAUAUCGACAUCGGUGAAGCCUCUAAUAUGGCAUAAUCUCACAAAAAGUAACUUAUAUGAUCUCCCCAUUUUUUCUUUUUAAGCACAAAACUUCUCAAUUUUCAAUAAUACCUAGAGGCUGGAGCUAGACGAUUCAUAUUUCUCAAUCAGCAUUUAUAGACAAAUUGUUUUUUGUUUUCUGCGUUAUGCAUAUUUUAAAUUCUAAAUUGGUCUAACGUUUAAUUACUACACCAGGGAUUUUGAUGCUUUUGAUUUGCGACUGAGGCUUCCUGCUGUGAUUAGCAAAUUAUACAAGCUUGCCAGCCAUAAUGGUGGGAUAACAUAUAUACAUUGUACAGCUGGACUUGGAAGAGCUCCUGCUGUGGCAGUAGGUUUACAUAGUCUUGUCUCUUUCUUCAGUUCAGCUAUUUUUAUCCUCCCAGUCCACCCACAAGAAAAGAACAAAGAAAAAUAAUGAAAAACAAACAAACAAAUGUAUAGGUGCAUCCAGCCACCAACUAACAAUGUUUUAUUACUUUAUUGAAAGUUGUGAUUCCCACAAAAUAACAAAAUCACUGUAUUGUAGUUAAUAAAAUGCACUCUAUGCACAAAAUGCUUUAAUAGCCUUCUAUACUACGAUUUGAUGUUGUCCGUAAUCUCGUGCACUGAUAAGUUUUCUAAUUUUGAGAACCUUUUGCCAAAUUUCAGUUGGCAUAUAUGUUCUGGAUUCUUGGUUACAAUCUUAACGAAGGACAUCAGCUACUACAGGUAGUCUUAUGUUGUUGAAAACUUCCUUUAUUUACUGUUUAACGGUGUUAGCAGGGAAACAAAUUUUGAUGAUAUUUGUGCACUGUUUAUGGCUUGUUUCCAAUAUCUAUGAAUCAGCGGCCUGUGUGCAGAUCUCUCUCGAUCGUCUUUUGUAGUAAAUUUAAGUUCAUUUUUACCGCAUAGCUGGCUAUCUUCCUUUGUUACCUUUUCACAUAGUUCAAGUUUAUUUAUUGAUUUUGUAGAGUAAAAGGCCUAGCUUUCCAAAGUUGGAAGCCAUUAAAUUGGCAACUGCUGACAUUGUAAGUGAGCACUGUACUGUAUUCUUAGUUUUUAGUUAUGAUGGAGAAAAGAGGAUGGUGGUCAGAUACCAUUCCGCGUCACAGAUCUUUGUGCUAAAUGAUGCUUGUCUUGUUAUUUAGCUGACGGGCUUGUCCAAAAACUGCAUCACUUUGAAGUGGAAAAAUGGUAGUUGUUCUUCUGUCGAAAUUUCUGGGCUUGACAUCGGCUGGGGACAGGUAUGAUUAAUAUUCAGUUAUGGAAAAUAAUCAUAUAUUUACGUUGAAAGAAUUUCCAUUUGAUGGAGGGAAGAACCCUUUCUGCCAAGCUGCUUUCUAGUAUAGAAUCUUUGAUAUCGAUGCAUUUUGCUCCAUGUGACACCCUCUUAACUGAUUUUCUUUCUAUGCCUUACAUUUCUUGUGCUUAUUCAGAAAAUUCCUCUGACAUACAAUAAGGAGGAAAAGGCUUGGUUGCUUGAGAGGGAGUUGCCUGUGAGUAUCAAAUUAACUAUUGUACUGAAAGCUAUUGUCUGAGCUUUGAUUUUCAUUCAAUAUUUGCCGUCAUAUUUCUCGUAUGCCUUGUAUGUAGCACCAUCAGUGUGUAAUAUCAAGCUUAAUUUUUUUAUGAACCUUUGCAUUUCAACAAUGCCCUUGGUUGAAAUACUGGAUAUCUGGAACCUUAAUUUUAACCUUAGUUGUGUCCAUCUAAUUGAUCCAAGUAAUACUGGAGGCAAUCAUCGUCCCUUCCACAAAUGUUUGAUUCACUGUAUCCGUUGCACACUUUCCUUGAUUGUGACCAAUUUCACGCUCACUGCAUCUUACACCUCUUGUGUUUGUGUUUCCCUGAAGGAAGGACGGUAUGAAUACAAAUAUGUAGUGGAUGGCAACUGGGUGUGCAACGACCAUGAGAUGAAAACCAAACCAAACGCCGAUGGGCAUGUGAAUAAUUACAUCCAAGUGAGAUUACUUCACUAAAUCUCCGGAGUCUUGCAUAUCCCCAGCAUGGCUUACAUCUUCCCUCGCAGGUCUCCAGGGACGGCACGAGCUCUGAAGAGCAAGAAAUGAGAGAGCGAUUGACUGGCCAAAACCCUGUUCUUACAAAAGAAGAAAGGCUGAUGAUUAAAGAGUACUUGGAACAGUACAGUGAGGGAUAGGAGGUUAGCCCAAAUCCCCUACACUUCAAUACUGCAUAACUUUUUUCUUGUUGCAUCUACUCUAUAGUAUCUUAAACAAAUUGUGGAGUACACAGUAACUAACUUCAUUGGCAUAAAUUGCAGAUCUUGUCUGACCUGAAACGCCAGGGGUGCAAUUCGGCUCGCUGCGAAGCUGGGAACACCUGCUGAUGAAUAGACCAUGCGGCUCCUGAGAGGCGAGGCUGCACCUGGCUCGCCACAUCGAUAGCAGCUUAACUGAAAAAAAAAAUAGAUUCCGCAUGGUAUUAAUUAUUAUUAAUCAGUAGGAUCCUCCUUUGUUAAACACAGGCUCCAUGAAACGAGCAAUCCGUGUAUACAGAAUUAAUAAGUAAAUAAAGGGCUGUGCACCUACAAGCUCCAAAACGUGUAACAUAAGUUCCUGAAUGAGAACAUCUUUCUUUGAUGCAAUGAUUUGGAUCUGAACAUCUCCUCGUUGUUUGGUUCCAUUCCAUCACCUGAAGUAACUGAUGCGAGUGAGUUGGUCCUAACUUUGGCCUUGUUUGGCUAUAAUACAUUAUCUCCUUCCAUCCAUGGUGCUCUUUUUUUACAUCACUUGACAGUGGACACUUUGCUGUCCACGGCCAUUCCUUGCCCUGCAAGGCUGAUGUAGCCCAUCUCUCACGGAAACAAAGGUGAAGUGGAUGAAGUCACUAAGUCAGCUGUCAAAGUCGACGGCUUUAGCAGGGUCAGCCGGUCAGGGUCUUGUCCCGUUGAAGUCAAAGUCGGCUGCUUGAGCUUGGCAAGUUCUUUGGUGGAAUUCCAAACUUAGCUGACUGCUAGCUUCGUGGAAGCCAGGUAUGUGUAGAAAAUUUCAAAAAUUGGGGAAACAUUGGGCCGGCCAUAUAUGGAAGGGAUUAUUGUAGCCUCCAGGUCCAUCGUCCAUGUAUUAUUGCAGGAUAAAAGAAAUCUGUCACAUUUGGAAAGGAAGUGUAAAAAAGGUUUGAAAAGAAGUGCAUGGAAUCUGUUCUUUCCAUGCGGGACCUUUAUCUUAUCUGCGCAAUUGAUUAUGAUCUCAAAAUCUUGCAAGAUUAGAUUGUCUCCCCCUGUGUUGCCCCCUCAAAAAGAAAACAUAAUUUUUUUUUAAAAAAACUUCACAUUGGCAUCCUCUUUUUGAAAAGGACAGCGGGAACUCAUUUCGUAGUAGGAGUAACAGAUUAAGGCGGACAUAAACAAUCUUACAAUAAUCAUAACUCAUCGAUGGAUGGAUCAUUACAGAGGCUGCCCUGCGUGUGUGUGUGUAAGCAACAGUGGGCAGGGUUACAGCUGAUUAGUAAUUUUACACCUAUAAUGCAUCCACACCACACAAGUAGUAGUCUUUAGCUAAGCAGUAUCACUGAUUAUCAAUUACACGGAGUAGCACUUGAUUUAAGCUUUAGCAGCUCGACGGCUGCUGCUACCGGACACCGGCGGAUCGGCGAGCUUGCCCUGCUUGGAGGGGGCGGGUGGCGCGGGGCGGAAGAUGCGGUCGAGCUCGUCGUAGCGGACGCUGAUAACGGCGGCGACGUCGAAGAGGCGCUUCCGGCACGCGGCGGGCUGCGGGCGCGGCUUCCUCGGCGCCGGCGGGCAGGCGGCGGUGCCAGUGCCAGUACCGAGGUAGCUGCUGCUGAUCCCCGCGCCCGUCGGCGUCCGGCAGCUGUAGUAUUCGUCUUCGUCUGCCGCUGCUGUUGCUCCGGGAAGGACGCGGGGCGAGUAGAGCUGCGGCGCGGCGGACCAGGGGCGGUAGAACUCGGGCGAGGCGGACAUGGCAGGCUUUCUUUCUUUAUAUGUGGAUGAUCGCUGGAGGCCAGAAGGAGAAGUAGAGAGGAGACGGGGGAAUAUGUGGAAAUUUAAGGGUGGCUGUGUAUAUGUAGGAGGAUGAAGAAGGGGCGGUGUGUUCUGUGUGUGUUGGUGUGAAAUGAAAUGGAGAAGACGAAGAGGCGUGCUGAGGAAGGAAACCGACGGAAGGAAGGAAGGAGACGGGAAAUCGGCUUCUCUCGUUUUUCUACUUCAAUUUUCUUCUCGUGUCCUGUCCAGUGUCCAGCUGGAAGGAUAGGCUUCGGUGGCAAGGAAGAAUUGGGGGAUUGAAUUCGAUGACCCAUGGCCUUGGAUCCCCGUCGAUUUCUUCCAGGGAGGGAAAAUCAAAUCGUGGGCAUAGGAUCCCGAAUCGCAAUCAGCAGUUUGAAUGAAUACGCUGUGGUGUGCUUGCCUCGGAUCCGCGUUGCAGUUGUGGCAGUCAGUCAGUCAGUGCGUGCUUGACGACCAAGGAAGGGAAGGCGACGUGUCGAGUUUAUCUAUCUAGUACUAUCUGGUCUCACUGCGCAAUACCGACCGACUGUCUCGCUGACUCUGACCACAAUGAGAUACUCCAGCAUCGGAUGCUGCUAAUAAUUUAUUCAAGAAAUCAUAAAUAAAAAGACAAACAAUUCUACUACUGACACCCGCUCUCAGCUUAUGGGAAGCAAUUCGAGCUUGAGCCAGACGGCAUGAAUCAUGAAUGCCUCUCCAUCUCAUUGCGGCGGCGAGCUCGAGAAGGAGUCUGAGCAGCUCCCGCCGGCGGCGACGUGUCUGCGGAGCGCCUUGCCGGACUCCCGCGCGAACUGCCGCUGUCUGAACUGCACGUAGGGGUAGCAGAGAGCCGACAGGACGUGCGCCGGCUUGGAGAAGGACAGCACCUCGUACCACACCCGCGACUCCUCGUCUAACUCCACAGAGAACCGCUCUUCCCCCGCCAGCAGAUGCCCUUGCAGGGUGCCGCUGCCGAACGCCAGCACGCCAUUGCCUUUCGCGCCCGAGGAGGAGGAGGAGAAGCCGCCGUCGACGUAGGCGAUCUGGAGCGGGAACAUGACCCAGGGAAUCACCUCCUUGUAGCAGAUGCAGAACCUCGUGCCGGCCUUCACCGGCGUGCCCGGCUCCACGCUCGCCCACCCCAGCGCCAAGUGCCUUUUUUUUUUCAGCGGAAUAACAUCAAACAGUUGGCGGGCUUAUGAAGGAAGGGUGAAUUGCUUGCUUGGUUGCUUACUUCCAGGAGAGGAGGCCCGACUUGGCCCGGCGGAAGGCGUCGGCGCCGGAGCCGACCAGGACGCGCGAGCGGUUGACGGAGAAGCCGCGGUCGGCGAGCGCCCUGUCUGUCAAUAGUGCAUCAGGGGCAGAGGAGGCGCCGUGGAGAUCCGCGUCGUAGUUGAAGCCGCCGGCGGACGCGAGGCAGGAUUUCUGUUGGUCCGGCGAGGGCCGGCUCAGGCUCAGGAACAGGCCUCCCCACCACGCCAUUAACGGAUCCUUCCUUCUUCACAAUACGUGUGUGAGGCUGAGGCGGCGGGUGCAGAGGUGAGAGCAGCGGUGGCCUCUCAGUGUCAGUCAGAGGUAGGUGGUGAUAACCGCAGCCUCUCUGAGGCUCUGCAGAGUCGGGAGAGGCCCAUGAAUAGAGCUUGCACACGGCCCGGGUCGAUCCAAUCGAAGCCCUCCAACUUCGAACACAGUGUCCCCUUUCAAUCCACAAAGGGUUCGCUCAACAAAAAAAAAACUCAACAAAGGUUAAAAAAGGAAAUGCACAGACACGCAAUGUGUGUGCAAUGCAUACUGAUACAGCCGGACAAGUCAGCCAGUUGCUUGAAAAUAUAUUUCUGUUAUUUUCUUCAGUGACAGUCGGACGAACAUUCAGAGAUACAGAAUAAAAGGAAAAUGCAGAACUAAUACUGCCUGUGAGUCAUCUUAUUGCAAAUUACUCCUACACGGCUACUACUGGAUUAAGCUGACACACAUUAGCAUGGUGUUGUUGUUGGUGGAGGAGGAGGCUAUUACCGUAGAGACAGAUACAAUUGGAGAACUAACAGUGGGUUUCAUGAACCAACCUACUAUCCCUAGUAUGCAAAUGAAACUUCUGCUCUCGGAACUGAAAUCCUCCAGUCAAACUAACCAGUGUCACCUGCCCUGACUCUUCUAGCGGCAGCAGACAGCUCCCCCUGCUUGGUUUUAGGGCCCUGUUGUUACAUUAUGCAGUAAGCUCGGACUACCUCGACGAUGGGCGCGCGGCACAGCGGGCAUCUGCCCACGCCGUGGAGAAGCUCCCUCGCGCACUUUGAGCAGGUGCACAUGUGCCCACACCUGAGACCAAGGUGGCAAAGUGUCAAGAAUCCAUCAUGUCACAACAAUAUGUGUUUGUGUUUCUCAAAAAUGUCUUUUAAAAAUGCGUCUUCUCUGAAGAUAAGCAAAAACCUGUAAAGAAGCGAGUCGAUUUGUUUGUCGCAGCACACGCAGCAGGUUCCUUUCCUUGCUAGCUUCCAUUGCGAUCCAUCCUCAUCUUCGGCUGAGAAUUCAGAGAUCUUCUGUCAGACACAGCGAACUAUAUAUAUGCUAGCACAAUAGAGGCCAGGAGGACCCCAGGAAGGAGAGUAACCAACCGACCUUGACUGGAUACAGAGCGGUUCAGAGCAGCAGAGACCUCUUGCUUGAUGGACCUCUGCAGCUCUACCUGCAUCUCCAUGCACGCUUCCAGCAUCUGCUGCAUGCCGACCAUCCCUCGCUGGAGCCCUGUCAGGUCGUCUCGCAGGACAUGGAUGGCAUCCCACUCCUGCACCAAAACAGAUAUCUUUCUUUCAGCAAACACCAGAUAACAGAUCUCAGCAGGGACCUGAAAAAACAGUACUACUAGAACUACCAACAGGUAACAGGUGACCAUCCAACGAAUGAAUAGCAUGAACUGCCGAUCACAACAGAGCUCUAAAACUUCCAACGAAGAGGAGACUCACAAAUUCAGGCUGAUGCAUGUUCUGUUGGCUCCAGUUAUGAUGAGGCAGCUGGAGUUGCCAAUGCCGCUGCUGUGGGAGAAGUGUUUGGCCUGACGAUGUAAUCGGAGGAUGGGGAGCGGUGUCAUGCUCGGCCUGAUUCGGUUCACUUGUCCCAUGCUCAGCAUGAUCUUCGUUCAGUAAACCGAUGGUUGGUAUCUGAAUUCCAUAUUCCCAGUCAGGAGGAUCAAGCUCUUGUCUUCGAGCAUAUGAUUGUAUCAGCUGGUCCAGGCUUUCACGGAAGCCGCUACUAAGAAGAUUAGAGACGCUACGCCUGCAAAAUAUAAACUGCUAACGUAUGAUUCAACAAAGGGCUGGGAAUGUACUGCAUUUUAUGAUUUAUUUUAAACAAUUACCUGCUUAAGAGUUCUCUGAGCUCUACUCCAUAGACAUCGCCGUCCGGAGGACUGAACCUAUUAAUGUGUGGGCUAGGAGAGACACUUGGAUCUGAUUGCCAUUGUGGUUCACCUUCUUGAGAAUCAAUAACAUGCCAUUCCUCAUCUCCAUGAAGGAAGGAACCCUCUUCCUCACUACCAGAUAUCUCCCUUGACCAUCGUAAAUCAGUUGGCUGUCCAUAAGUUUCAUCAUCUUGUCGCACGCUGUUGUUAGACGGGUUAGAAGAGGAUGAACCAGAUUGCUCACUGCCCUGUCCCGAGGACCCUGAGUCUGAGUACUCUUCGUAUCCGUGCAUGUGUUCUUGAUCAAAAUCAUCUUGCAAAGCAUCAUUACUAUUUGAUACAGUGCUCUCGAGGUCGACAGAUUGAGCUUCUUCCCUUGAUUGAAAUGUCUGGAUCUCGUGAUUGCGAGUAGCAUUCUCCAGGUGAAGAUUAUUGUCAAGGAAGACCUGAUGAGUAAAAUUAUGAUUCUCACUAUUGGCAUAACUGUUUUGAGCAUCCAUUGGCCCAAAAUGGUUAGCGGCUUGAUCAUGGGUGAUAUUUUCUGUUCUAGAGCGAACUUCUUCCCUAGUCAAGAACAAUAUAUUGUCAGCAUGCAGAAAGUUAAUCUAUAUGCUUCUCGAUGAUGCUGGAAAUGAAAGCUAGUAUGUAUGAAGAAGUUUCUUCUUUGUGGGGAUUAUGAUGGAGGAAUUGUGUAUUUUCAAAGAAACUGCUAGAAAAUAUGUUCAUUUGGCAAUUUGACCAUAGUUGAUGAUUAUUCCUACGGCAUAAUGCUGAAGCUACAAAUGAUAGCCACAAUUCCCUAUCAAUAAUAUCAUCCUAUCACCGAUGGUAGCUACACAUGCCCGUGAGACACAACGCGUGGCUAAUAGAGUUAAGAGGCAGUAACAGGCUAGGCUCACCGUCCACCAAAUGCAAGUUCCAACCUGUGACUGCCAAGAUGAACAACAGUAGAGGAGAUCAUACUAGGCAAAGGAGGCCCUACCUCAAUCUAGCGACAGGGCGACUCUGUCUAAGCUGUCCCAAUUCUCUGGUUGCCGUCGAAAGUGGCCAGUCGUCGUGCAUAUGCCUUUCACUGCGAACGAAACUACCUCGGAGAAAGGACUGGAAACAAUAACUAUCAAUCCAAUGAAACAAAAUAUGGUGUUAUCAAUUAAUUAUGAAAACAAAAACUUACCACUAACACUUAAAAUGGUUUAUUUACUCUAGUAGAAAACAAGUUUAGACAGGGCUAUUCAGAAAUUUUGACUUCAUUGGCAGUGUAGCUAUUAGCUAAUGCCAUUCCUCAAAAGGAUGUACUGAAAAAUACGCAGAUCAACAUCAUGAAAUUUUCUAAUCAGCAGACAGCUUCAUACAAGUCUAACAAGAAAUUUUGGUGGUGAUUAUAGCCAACGGUGUUCUUCAGAAAGGUCAAGUGAAAUGACACAACAUACUCUUAUUACUUUGGCUCUCAGUGCACAUGAUCCAAUACAAAAAGCUACUUGUUACACAACAAAGUGCUUCUAAUUUUACAGAUUAGAGAUGGCAAACGAAGACUUGUACUUUACAAACUGCAUACUCUUGUUACUUUGGCUCUCAGUGCACAUGAUCCAAUACAAAAAGCUACUUGUUAGUUGUUACUUUGUUAGGCAGGCAGCAAAUAGAGCACAAUGCCCAACUUCCUGGCUAAAGGCUUCCACUCAUGUUUCCACAGUGAGAACUUUAGGCACCAUAGGCAUGAAGCAAGUACAGGUGGGGAUUUGGUCAGAAAGAUGCCCUGGCAAAACUUUUCAGCUGUUACCAGGUACAACAGCAAUGUGCAGGCUGCAGAGAAGAGGACCUAGUCCAAAACGAUCUUGGUACAUGGCAAUAGUAAAACAUAAACUAAUUUCCUAAAAUGUAUAAGAACAAAAUACUCUUUCUUCUAACACUCCACUUGAUACACCUGCUUGCAGAGUUGCAAUUGCAGCAAGCUAGACAGGACAGAUUAUCCAAGCACGGCAUUCAAUUCGUCGACCAAAAAGAAAAAACAUCAACUCAACUAUUGAUUGUUUCGUACUGAGUACCAAUAGUUAACAAUGCAGAAGAGAAUACAUUUGCCAAAAUAUUGUUUUCAAAUGAAUUUUGGGGACAAAUGCAAAGGAUUUUGGGUUUGGACCUGGAUGCGGCCGCGGUGAGCGAAGGCAGAGACGGCACGGUGAUCGGAGAGGCCCCGGAGCUCGUGCUGCCGCUCCACGGCCAUGCGUCUCACGACGUCAUCGUCGUCGUCGUCGUCCGCGCGCGCUCGAUGCCGGUCGCCGUCGCCGACGCCGAGGCUGGCCAUGCGGACGCGCUCCCGCACGGAGCGCACGCGCGCGCGCUCCGUCUCGCCCAGCCACUCCUCGCCUCCGCCGCCGCGAGGGGAGCUCUGCGUCUGCGUCUGCGUCAAGGGGGCCGCCGCCGCCGUCGUCAGCUCCCUCGCGAUCCGCCGCACUCUCGCGCGCUCCGGAGACCGCGCGCUGCGCCUCCCGUCUCCGCGGCCGCCGUCAUCAUCUCCGUCCUCGGCGGAAGAGCGGAGGAAGGAGGAGGCGUCGAGCAUGGUGGAGACGGCGUGGAGGCGCGCGAGGGCGAGGAGCUCGGAGUCGCGGUCGCGGCGGAGGCCGAGGUCGAGCUCGCAGGCCUGGCGGCGGCGCGCGGCCCACUGGCGCUGGGCGGCGAUGAUCCUGGACGCGGACGACGUCUCGCCGGAGCGAGCCCUGCUGCUCUUGGCGCGGAGGUCCUCCAUCGCGGAGACGAAGGGCAGGUGCUCGACGGAAUGCGCCCCGGCGCAGCGGCGGCCUAGGGCGGGUAUAAGUAGAGCCGGAGGAGGAUGAGGGGGCGAGGAGGAGGCGGAGUUCUUGGCAUUUCCCGGCGCGGGAGCAGAGGAGGAGGAAGAGGAGGAGUUCGUGGAAUCCCGCGCGCGCGAGAGAGCAGAGGAGGAAGCAAAGCAAAGCAAAUCCCGGAGAGGGGAGGAAGCGAAGCAAAUCCCGAGGCUGGCACUGGCAGGCCACUGGUGGAGGAAGAAGGGGUAUAUGGCGCUAGAGCAAGUUAAAUUUAUUUAAAGGUGAAAAUUGAUAAUUCUGACCAUUUUUAAAAGUAAAAAUGAAUCUCCACCGAAACUUGUCAUUUUUUUUUCUCACAACCCGUCGAUUUGGCAUAAAUGUUAGCGGGUGAUGUUUCAUCAGAUCGUUUUUUUUGUUGGCUAAUGCAUGAAGCUUGACAUGGUAUCAGAGUCAAAGUUUCAUGCACCGAACCAGUUCACCCAAAAGUUCAAACUGAUGAAAAAUGAGGACAGGCCUAAACGUGGACCAAUUUGUAUGCAAGAAUUGGUAGGGCAUAAAUUUGCGUAAACCAAACAUAUUUCCAAUUUUCACACUAAAAGAGUGACACCUUGGUUUUGACUUCAGUUAUUUAAAAAAAAACUUAACCAUAUAUACUGAUGGAAAUAUCAACAGCUAACUAAGAUGCUUUCCUAGCGAUUAGACCAAGCAUGCCUAAAGGACGAAAGUCUUUUCUUUGGAGAACACAUAAACGACGACAAAGUUGUUUAGCUGAAAAGUAUGCUCGAUUUUUUAGGCCAUGUGUAGUAGUACAUGGUCGUUAAGAAGCAUUAGGUGCUUAAAUUGCAAAGCUGAGGCCGGUGCUCCACAAUUUGCUUCAAUUUGGUGCUUUAGUGUAUAUAUGUGACUGAGUACUGGCACGGACAUAUAUACUGUAUCAGUUGGUCGAAAUAUUUAAGGACUUGCAUGCAUACCAAUCAUAAGCAUUUGGACAUGGUAUAUAUAUAACUUUUACUUACACCUUGCUUCAAUUUGGUGCUUGAGCUAAUUACAUUAUCGAUCGGCUGCCUAUUCAUAAGUUCUUCCUUUGAAUUUUUAUUAAUUAAAGAUGGCUCCCUGCUAAACUACCUGCUUAUAUACAUACUUGUCGAUACUGAUCGACACAUGUUGGCGUGUGAUUUGUCUUCUUCGUUCUGUGCACGUUGAUCUAUAUAUAAUUGUCAACUUUGAUCGAUGGAUGGAUGCAGACGAGAUGGAUACACGUACUGCCGUGCAUGUGAUGUGCUAGCAAUAGCUUGUCGGCAUGAUUGCAUGGGAGGCAUGCAUGCAUGCACCAUGUAGAGUACAGUAGUACAGUACACAGUACGUACAUUGCUUGCUUCUCAUAUGUGUUGCAUCAUAUAUCUCUAUCCCCCUUGUCGCCUACGUACACACGUACUACUAUGAUAACAAAUGGCCCAAAUAAUUCUUCUGUGACUCGGAUUUGUCUAUAGAUGUCCGGACGGAGGAAAUAGCAUUGUUUCAGGAACGAUCGUGAUAGCGGUAGCUAGCUUGCAAGCCCUAGCAGCCAAAUCAGCGAGUGAUCGAUCUCGAGAUCUCUAGUCGUCGUUGCCUAGCUCCUUGUUGCUUACUGCCAAUUGCCGGAUUCCUGGACAUCACAUAUCGAUCUCGAUGUAAGAUCUAUAUAUAUAGAUAUAUAAAGCGGCCAUGCAUAUGGUUCGUGUGCUACAUGAUCAUUGACGUUAGACAUGCAUGCCCCUAAUUGAGAAUUUUGGAGAUCUUUCUGGAGGGUCGGCCUUAUAAUUUGAUUUAACUGUAGCACCUGCAUUUUUCUGGAGUUCCUGUAGGGAUAUUCAGCAUGCAUCAGGACGUUCAACACUUGUGUUUUUUAAAAUUCUGGGGAUCAAAGAAGCCGCCAUUGAGCAGGAGGGGACAGAUCCAUAGGAAGAAAGAAGGAAAGUCGGCCAUAGGAGGAGGAAGGGAAGGAACGCUGUCCCCCUGGCCACCUUACAAUGCAUGCAUGCUCUAUGAUUUCAGGAUAUUUAUCAGCCCAAGGUUUCACAGGUCUCGAGAAGAGAUCGCCAAAUCAAUCAUCAUAAUGCAAAUCCGAUCUUUCUAAUGCAAUGAUUCACCACCACUGCCUAUUGCAUGCCCUUAAUUACUUGGUUGCAGUUUUCUAUGCCGCAGUUAUAUAUUUUCACUGCAAAUAGUGUACUCUAGCCAUGGGAGAACAGUACAUUAACUUUGCUUGGCCUGUGUAAAGUGAGGUUUUAGUGAUCCAAGAGGUAUGUUAGAUCAUGGAGAUGAAAAGAAUUGCUUCUGCUUCUGCUUCUGGACCACCUAUACAUAUUAGAGGGGACAUGAUUGAACAUCAGCUACAUAUACGUAAUCCUAAGUACCAGUAAUCUUAUCUACUGAAUAAUAUUUAUUUACUCCCAGCUCUGAGUCUAGUAUUCUAGCCUCUGUUCAAAAUCGUGGAAAAAAGCGCAGUCGUGUCCUCGGAUAUCAUGUGAGAUAUACCCUACUCAGCAUGCAUAACAUCUUGUCAUGCUAAUUAAGGGUUCCAGGUAAAAUAGAUCACGGAAUACAGCAUGUGUGCGUUCACAGAAUCACAGUACAGUAAUGGUGAGCGAAAUCUGAAAACAAAAAGGUUGGGUGGCAGAUGGUAAAGUCAUGUCACUGAACUGAACUGAAUUCUGUUGCAAGUCUCUUAGCAUAUGUAUCCCUUUUCCCUCUUCGAUCUACUACGCGCACCAUACCAAAUUGUAAUAAUUUUCGAAACAAAAAAAGGGUUGUUCUAUAAUGUGAGUUGUUUCUCAGUUCUCAAGGAAACCGGUGUUCGGAAGGUCAUCCAGCCUAUUUAGCUGCCGACUUUGCCUGAAAUUCCUGCCUUGUUUCCUCUUCUCCUAAAAGGACCUGAGCGCAGCUACAGGGUUAGUCCACCUUUUUGCUCUGAUUGGGUUCUUCAUCUUCUUCCUCGCCAGCUUCCUGCUCUUCAGGCUGGGACUCUGUGAACUCCAGUAGCUGGCAUUGUAAAGUAGUUAAAAAAAACUUGCAUUGCACCAGUUUCUUAUAGCCACGAUAAAAUAGGAAAUGAACAAAUUGGUGAUGGCACCAUGGAAUCUCAUCACAGCAAAGGAACAAGCCGGUAACUGGUAUGGAAAUUCUUUAGUGCAAGACAGCAAGCCAUGUGUAGUCUGGACUUGCUGGGUAUAGUUUUUUCUUUAAAAAUUGCCAAUAGUGUUUUUUUCCUCAUGGCUAACCGUAGGAAUGCCACAAGCAUGAUCCAGCUUGUCAAUUAUGAUCUCAUUCCAGGACUAGUUAACUUCAGAUCCAGAAUACUGGAAUCAAACUGGAGGAAAUACCAUGGUCUAAUAAACUUACUGGCUUUACUUCUCCAUUCCACAAAGAGUGAACAGCGACAAAACCAGUCACGCCUGGAACGAUGUAUAACAGAGCAGGCUGCAUAUGAAAAAAAAAACAGAAGAUGAGGAAAAAACAGGUUUAGUAUUUCAGAGAUCCACAGACAUUGAGAGCACAAGAUGACAAGAAACGAUAGUAACAGAACUAACCUGUGCAGCUUGAAACCAGUUCAUCACAACUAUGGUUACUGUCAAACCAGCAGUAUAUCCCAAAAAUGCACUAUUGAAGUAACGGUUCUUAAUCCCUCUCGAGACAUCAAAACGCAGGGCAAGUGCGACAAAUAUACCUGGAAUCAGAAUUAGAAAUAUAAAUUACCAUGUAUGUGGAAACAUGGGAGCUUUGCAUGCUUUUCUAUCUUGAUUGAAUGAUGCAAAACUGCUUUGGAAAAAACAAUCGGUUCCCAUAAAAAACUUUUCCUGCUUUAGUUCUACUAAACAGUAAACACAAAAGAGGGUAAAUAUGGCUCAAUGGAUCAUAUCAACCAAACUAAUCCAUGGGAGACGACGAUGCCUCAAUUGCCAGAGCAUCACUGCUGAACACUUUAUUCCAUUUAAUUACUAUAAUUCUAAAAACCAAGUAUUCAUUGUAGAACGAAAGCAUACAUCCCCACUUUAAAUAGUAGUUCAAGCUAAUUUUGUUGGCUCCAUCUGGACAACAAUACCAGAAGUCAGAUUCAGAAAUGCAGUUUUACAAGCAACUGGAAGUAGUUGAAAUCAUAAAUACUUUCUAGCAUUAGUAUCUACUGUCCUGGUACCAGGACUGGAACAUACUAGUUGGAUCGACAAUGACCCAAGAGUUCAAGUGUGCCUUCAAUCACACGUCUUAAUAGUAGAUUUGUUUGCAACUGGAUCCAGUCAUGUGGUGGCCGUGGCAUUACAACAACAGCCUAGUAUAUUGUCACCAAAGUCUGAACAUGUACAUGUUGUAUUCCUGUUUCCAAAAAACUCUAAAUCUCCAAUCCAGCUCUAAUGAUACAGCAUGUUUCUUUUCUAAACUACAGCCUUUAGAUCAACAGCUACAAGAACUUAAUGCAGUUUUUUUUAACAAAAAUGACGGACUAGCAGCCUUUAUAUCACUAGUUCGAACAAAGUUGUCACUCAGAUGUAGCUUGCAUGAUUAGAAUAUCACUAGAAUCUGAGACAAAACUAGCCCACUUUUUUUUCACUAACCAGGUAUGACAAUGUCACCAAGUCCAAGCAUCGAGAAUGGGCGUGCAGCAUCCGCAGUUGGAAACAGAAGCUGCAAAAAAGAAGAAGGUGGAAAUGGAUCGAUUAGACUAUUUGAAAUGGAGCAAAAUGUAUUGGGUAAAAGGGCAAUUCACUGUGACAGAACACUAACCUUUAUUGGAGCAUCAAAUGAUUUAGCAACACUGACCAUAACUGGAGUGAAGAACACCCAGAAAAUGUCGUACACAAAAAGUCCAGCCUGAAAUGGCAAAAGGGAAUUAAGCGACCAUUCUCCCCGUUCAAAUACAGUUAAAGUAAUCAAAGACUGAAAGUUGAUUCUAUAUUGCAGACAAAUUAUGAAAACAAGAAAAUGAUCUGCAAUGCAUUUCUUGAGCUACUAGAAAUGUAUUCUAAAAUGUAUUAACUAUUAAAAGAAGGACACAGUACCAUGAUAAGCCUAAUCACUAGUGUAAAUUAUAUGAUUCCUCAAUACAGUACAGCAAUCAAUACAUUGGUUUCCUAGAAAUGGCAGACUUCUCUUUCAUGACCAAAAGAAAGACAAACAGAAGUGCUAGCGGAUCAGACAUUUCAAAUUGUAUUUGAGGUACCUACAUGUCAUCCUAUCUUCUUCUAAUUGUAUUAAUAAUACAUGUCAUGCUCCACAUAGUAAGUACUAUGAUAGCAAAGAGGUGACAAAAACAAUGGCAUGUGGGUGUCUGAAACAAUGGAAUGUGUUACAACUUACAAGUACCGCCAGAAAAUAAGAAUAUGUAAAAUUCAAUUCAGUACAAACUUAGUGAGCCCAUACCAAGAGAAUACCACCGGUUUUGAAUGAUCCUAGUGAUAGCAUCUCAAUUCCCUGCAAGGUUACAAAUUUUUUUUAAGGUCCUGAGCAAUUGAAAACGGGGAUGAAAACAUAUCAUGUCUAUGAAGGUUUCAUGCCAUGAUUAUUUUAUCAAUGCAUAUAAACCUCAACUCGGAAGUAGCAGUAAACAAACCUGAAUACAGAAAGCAAUUCCCAAAACGUUGUUUGCUAGCCAAUGCUUCUUCAUGGCAUACCAUACACAAAAGAAAAAUCCUGGGAUUGAAGCAACAACUUGAGACUUGGUAAACUCCACCGAGAGCGCUGAAAUAGGAAGUUAAUGAACUUAAAUCAUCAGUAACACUCAAUCUUGUAACGGUAAUACCGUGAUGUAAUAUGAUCAACCAGAAGCAGUAAAAUAACUGCAAAUCCUGCAAGAUGUAUACGGACUCCAGUACACCAAGAAAGAUUGUCACAAAAAAUGCAUAUAUUUGCAUGCCAGUUAAUUUUAAUAAACAAUAGAAUCCUCAUAAAGUUCACCGUUUACAUUUUUUGUGCAAAAGGUAACUUGCCAGACUAUAGUACAGAGUUUGCCUGUAGUCCUGUACCCUCUUAAAUGAAUUGGUCUAACAAAAGCAUCAGUGCUUGGUUUUUUUAAGUCCAUUCUAGUUAUGAUUGUUAAAUGAAUUGGUCUAACAAAAGCAUCAGUGCUUGGUUUUUUCAAGUCCAUUCUAGUUAUGAUACGUAAUAAAUCAGUGUAUGGACUCCUGUUCAGCACACUGCAAUUCUGAAGUAUGGAAAGUUGGCAAUGCUAGAGGUGCAACAAAUUGGUUCCUCAGGAUAGUGAUAGUAAUAUAUAUAGCUGUAUUAAUUUGACAUAAGAUGCAGAAUUCGAGCAAAGAGAGCGAGCAUCAAAAUGAAGGAGGGGAUCAUACAGUGGAAAUAUGGAGCACGCCAAACGAUUUCAUUAUCAUUCCAUCCUUGCGGAAGAAAACGUUUAAUGGAAGGAAGUAACGUUGCGCUGCACGAUAAAGCAGGGCACAUAAAUAAAUAUUCUUAAUUCACAGCUAACAUUUUUACGUAGAAAAACAACUCUUCAGAGCACAUUUAUGAUUACCAGAGCGCGGCAAUGCCAAGAAUGAAGAAGUAGGCAGUGAGAACGGUAUUGACCAAGUCCUUGGAGAGGAACUUGAACAGAAGGAACAGCGACAAAAGCAUGGCGCUGCCGACCAAAGGGAACCGCAUGGCGUGCUCUUUGGACAUUGUCUCCUGCACAUUGGGAGAAACAAAUGCAGAAGUUGAGUUGACCAGAAGCCAUAUAUACAGACAAAUUAACUGCGCGCCAAUCAAAUAAAUCUAUCAUUGCAGUAGUGCCCAGGAGAUGCCUUGACAUGAAAUUAUCAAGAGGGGGAAACAUGUUGCUCACAGAGGGCGGAGCUGCCUUGACAGAACGGUAACAACCCACAUAGACGGUAAGACAUGCCGUCAGUAUCACAUUCAGAUUCGGGUUCACGUUGAUCACAAGCGGCGCCAAGCUCAAACCUGCGUGCACCAAAAACCAUGUGAGGAUUACAAUUCAAAAAGGAUAAUGAACGAGGAACAACUGUAGAAGCGU